AUGGUUACAUUAAAAACCUUGAGCAAUGAAGGAAUCCUGGUCUGGCAGCAGUUGAUCCCACUGCAGCUAGCCAUCGUGCUAUCACUGUUUUUGUCACAAAUUGACAUACACCCACCAAUAGUAGAUUGAUUUUGGUUCAUCAAGGCAAAAUUGCCACAAGGCCCUGCAAUGAAGUAAUUCUCGGAGGAGAAAACAAACGGGCUUCCUUCCAAGUCAACAACUGUGUUUCUAUCUUUGCCACCACAAUUUGCAAAAACAAUUGGAAACAUGACCUCAAUCGUACUGCGACUAACUGAGAUGUAACUCACCUCCAGAUCAGUGCCGUUUACUCUAAGUUUAGGAAGUACUCCACUACUGGAGUUGCAGAGUAUUUUGAACCUUUCGUCUAGGUAACAUCCUUUUUCCUGUCCAAAGGGAAAUAGAAUAUCAAUGCCUCCACAAGAAGAUUCACAAUCACGCAAUGGCAUCAUAACCUGUGAUUCUGCAGUACGCAAUGACCAGAACAACAGGAUGACCUGAAAUACUGUUAACUCAACAGCUGCCAUAUCCUUUUUCUUCUUCUUUCAGACAGAGUAGCUUUUUAGAAGAGAGAAGCUAUAAAACGGGCUCUUACUUGGCAAGCAACCCAGCCAUAUGUUAAGUUAUACAAAAUCCUCUUCUUCUUUCAACUUAUUCUUUCUUUCUUUGUUUUUUCCUUUCGCCUUCCAUGAGUAGAAAGUUCAAAACCAAAGUCUUUAGAACCACACAAAGAAUUAAGCAGCCAGACUUGACCGAGUCAGUCAAUUACACUAUUAAUUAACAGAUACUCUAACACACUUAGGUUUUUUUUCUUCUUUUUAUUCGCUUUUAUUUCUUCAUUUUUUUUACAUGUUUUUUUUUUACCCAAAAUUGACUUCUUCUUCUUUUUCUUUUUUAAUUUUUUUUUUCAAAAUUAUCUUUGCUAAUAUUUUUAAAUAUUGAGCUGUUUGAAAAAUUAACUAUGUAGCUUUUUUCUUUAAACUAUUGUGGAUUGCUAUAAUAUUCUAAUACAUUGUUUUUUUUUUUAUAUAAUUCUUUCCAUACAUAGUUUUUGCUUUACUGCAAUGUUUCCCCAUAUAUUUUUUUAAAAAAUUAUCUUUAUUGAAUUUAUUUUUUCAAUAUUAAGCUGGUUGAUAAUCUAUCUUUAGCUUUCCCCACAUGUUUUUUUUAUUUUUUAUAUUUGUUUUUACCCAAAAUUUACUUCUUUUUUUUUAAAUAGUCUUUGUUGGUUUUUUUUUAUAUAUUGAGCUAGUUGAGAACUUAGCUUUGUAGUUUUUUUCAAAAAAAAAAAAAAAACACUAUGGAUUACUACAGUGUUUUUCUUACAUGGUUUUUGUUUGGCUGCAAUGUUUCCCUCACAUGUUUUUUUUUUUAAAAUUAUCUUUGUUGAAUUUAUUUUUUUAAUAUUGAGUUGGUUGAGAAUUUAGCUUUAGCUUUUCCCACUUUUUUUUUUUUUUUUGAAUUUUUCUCAAAAUUGUCUUUCUUCUUUAUAUUUUAUUUUUCUUUUUUCAUAAUUAUUUUUUUUGAUUUUAUUUUUUUACUAUUAAGCUGAUUGAGAAUUUAGUUUUUUUAAUUUUUUUCUUUAAAACACUAGAUUGCUACAGUAUUUCUCUACAUGGUUUUUUAUUAAAUAAGUUUUUUUCAGAAUUAUGUUUGUCGAAUUUAUUUUUUUCAUAUUAAGCUGAUUGAGAAUUUAGCUUUGUAGUUAUUUAAAACAUAGUAGAUUGCUACAGUGUUUUUCCAUAUGAUUUUUGCCUUGCUAUAGCGUUUCCUCACAUGUUUUAUUUAUCGAUAUUUUUUUUCCAAAUAUGUUUUUGUCAAAUUUAUUAUUUUCAUAUCGAGCCGGUUGACAAUUUAGCUUUUUUUUCUUAAAACAUUGUAAAUUGCUAAAGUGUUUUCCCAUAUGAUUUUUUUAGUUAUGUUUUUUUUUUUUGAAUUGUCUUUGUCGUUUUUAUUGUUUUUAAUAAUGAGCUGGUUAAAAAUUAUUACUGUAGAUUUUCUCAUGAAACACUAUAGAUUGUUAUAGUAAUCAAAUUAAAAAAUUACACAAUAUAUAUAUAUAUACUAGCCAUGAUACCAACACUAUGCUGCGGGUGUUAAAAUUUGCAAUAUUUUUUUUUGCACAUGUUAUAUAGGAAUAUGUAGCAUAUUCAUAAAGUUAGUUGCAAAAGUUAAGUGGAGAUAGUUAAAUUCAAGCGUAACAAAAGCAUCUAGAGGUAAUACUUUAUGCUUUAUACAUAUAGAUAUAGAAUUAGACGCUAAUGAGCGGCAAGUUGUAUUAACAACGCAGAUGAUGAAGACGUCGAAUGAGGUUGCGAUGUUGGAUAAGAAAGCAUUGAUUAACUGAACGUUAAUCGUUUUCCUAUUGUAAAAAAUAAGUGUAAUGGUAAGUUAUAAAUUAUGCAAAGCGAUAAAUAUUAAAUGUUUUUAAAGAUAAAUCAGAAAUGAGAAAUAAAGAUGUAAUUGUUGUUGAGCAUGUGAGUUCACAAAGAAAGGAAAGUAAUUAGAAGUAGAUGCUUACCUUUUCAGGUGAUGAAAUGGAGAGGUGCUGCUUCUUUGAAAGUUGUGGUGCAGGAUUGUCAUCAUUUUUGUAGACAUGUUCCUUUGAUGAGUCUGCAAAAUCUUUCAAGGGUCUUGGAUGGGGAAGUUGGGUGCUGAAUCAUAUAUUGAAAGGAAGUACGUAAGGAAUGGCAAGUGUAAACAAUAUGAAGAAUCAAGUAAUAAUUUUCAUGGGAAUGAAUGUAGAUGAAUUAUGAGAUAGUGGUGUGUGGCAGGUUAAUAUCUUGAAAUCAAAAAAUAAGAAUAAAAAUAAUGAUACAGUUUAAAAGGAUUCAAUGGGAUGAAUAUUAUAUUAGGGAAUGCAUAUUAGUUUGGUAGGUACCAAAACAUCACUCUCUGGCCAUUGUGAUACCAAAAUAAUAUAUUAAGAAUGAAAAGGAAGACUAUUUAUAAAGUUGUAGAUCAGCCAAGGAAUAAUUGUUAAAGGAAUGCAUAUGACGGAAAUGAGAUAUUGGCUUCGGCUGGUGUGUUAUCUUUGCACUGGGAAAUAAGAAAUCAAGAUUUAUGAUGGUUGAAGCACCAUCGCGCAGGGUCAUAAAUUGUUGGUACAAUACAUGAAUUAUUUGUUAUGUGCGGGGAAGCAAAACAAACAUGUCGUGUGGCUCAGCAUCAUUAAAGGUUAGUGCUCUUUUUGACUGGCGAUGGUAGCUGUGAUGAAACGUGUCUUUUUGUGGAGAGGUGUGUUGCUGUGAAGCUGGAGUGUGAAUUUGAGAUUGAUCUACAUCCAGGGAUCUGCAAGGUUCGGUGUUGGAGGGGUGAAAGUCAUGGAACUUCCAGCAGCAGAGGUUAUUGAGGUUGUUGUGUCAACAUCUUUAAUGGGGCUAGCUGGGCUAACAGAUGCUUCAGUUGGAAAUCGAAGAUGUUGCAAACAUAUAUUUCACAUCUGCUGAGAAGAGAUUUGUAUGCUCCAAAUCGAAGCUGAAAUAUUUUUGUUUUGUUUAAUUUCUCAAUCAUUUGAGGUGGAACAAUGAAUGGGUCAGUGAAUUUUUUAUCGAACACCAAAUGAUGAGCUGAAGCAUUGAAAAAAUACUCAGCUGUCUUGCCAGAGAGAAGAAAGUUGGUGACAUCUUGACCAUCACUAACGAUGCAAUUAAUUCUGAACCUAAAAGAUAUGAAAAAGAGCUUCGGUUAAUAACGAAAUAAAAGCAUGGGUUAAUAUAUGUUUCAGUUGAAAACGCAAUGAUGUUUUGGUAUGUAUAUUAGUUGAACCAAGGGACUGGUGCAGAGGUUGGAUAGUCAUGCUCCAUGCAUCAUAAACUAUUAAAGAGUUCAGAGAGUGGCUUGUUGCAAUCUGGACAGCUUUGACACCACCAUCCCUUGAAGAGAUCAUAAUCAACUAUGAAAGCUUUACAUGUAAAUCUUUCAUUCUGCAGGUGUCAAUUAAAGUAGAAAGUCAUAUAAUUUUUUUGAUAAAAACGAAGGUGAUGCAGUGUUGAUGAUUGUUAACAGUAGUGUAAUUAUAACAAUAGCAUUUACCUGUAAUAUUAGGAAAUUGAAUGAAUAGAAACCACUUGCCAGAACAAUAACGAAGAAAGCUUCUUCUCGCAGCAGAGUCCCGAGAAGAAGCUUUUCCGGCUUUUGUCCUAAGCAAUAAAUCAACAAUAUGCGGCAAGCAGCUAAUUUCCAUAUGCAAGAUGGCACUAAGUCAUUUAUAAGCAAAUUUGAAUUCUAGCACCAGAAACGGACAAUUUGAAUUCUGAUAAUCACUCACCCACCCACCCAUCCUCUUAGAGCUACUUGUUACGGCGUUGAAACUUGAAAGGCUUUUAAUUUUACAAAAGCUUCCCUGUAAUUUUCAGCCCCCAUUUCCCAUCCUUAUUAUCAUAUGGUUGAACAGACACACUUAUAUAUGAACUUUAAAUUUUGAAUUAAAUAAUUAACCAUAUGCGCUUUCUCUUUAUACGGCUGUUCCAAAAAAGAUAAUGUAAUUGCAAAAACAUUAAGAUUUAUAUAGCAAGUUUUGAGUUUAAACCACAACAUGUAUUUUUUAUAAAAUUCUAAGAUAGCUAGAAUUUUACUUACUCAUUUCAAUUUAUAAAAUACAUUUUUUAAGAAAUGACGUUUAAUCAGAACCAAAAAAUAAAGUAAUAGUAUGGGAAUUUUAAGACUUAAUUAAUCUUUCUCAAGGACAAAAUCAAUACUGCAAUUGAUAUAUUAAACUUUUUCAUCACAUGAAUUAGGAAAUGCUGUCUUUGAGUUAACGAACAAAACAUGCAACUCUUUGAUUCGACAAAGCUUGGUCUCUUUUCCAUUCUUUCAAACUCGUCCUCUUUAAUGUAUUCAGGUGCUAGUUUUCAAACAAGCAGUAUUUAAUAUAAUAAAUAUUGUUUUGAGCCUUUUCAUGACAAAAAGUCUGUUGAAUAUUAUUUCGAAAAAGAUUCAUUUUUCAUAUUUUUUAUUUUUAUUUUUUUAAGAAGACAAAAAAUUAAACAGUACAUAUCAUUGAAUAUUGAUGAUAUUUUAUUCAAGUUACACCUAUGAACCAUGGGAAACUCUUGCACCAUUUUGUUUUUUUUAAGUGCAAGAGCAAUUUUUUUAAUUUUAAAAUAUUUUUUGAUGUUUUAAAAUUAUUUUUUUAUAUUAAUGUUAAAAAUAAAAAAAUAUAUAUAUUUUUAAAUAAAUAUUUUAAAAAAUAAAUCUAAAUAGGCUCUCCAAUCAUUUGAGCGAAAGAUUAAAACUAUAAGUAUUUUGUCUAAUAUUCUAUACACUCCGCAUUAAAAAUAGGAAAGGAAAAAAAGGGGCUAGGGGAAUCUUUUGAAAUAUAUGUCAAAAAAGAGAGAAUCAAAGGCCACAGUUGAAGGGGCUCCUAUAAAGCCAUCCUAUACAGCAAGCAGUUUUGUUUUGUUUGCAAUAAGCAAUAUUUAAAAAUAACAUAAUAGAUACCUUGUGUUCAAAUGGGUCCAUACAGAGGAUCUCUCUUAUUGUUCUCCUAUUUUCAUUUAUUUGAGUUUGCAAUGAUAUAUAGAACAACUCCUGAUGAUGGAGGCAACUGGUGCAAGUCAACAGGCAGUUGAGCAUAGCUACGUAAAGAUAAAGAAAAAGGUGUUGAGAAUUAAUUUAAACAUUAAUAUAUAAAUUGGAUUUUAACAAAUGUAAAAGGUUCGAAGAAUAUAGAAAUUUUACUAAUGUUUGUAUGCUAAUAACUCUGGUAUGUCCGGGUUAAAAUACCAAAGUGAAGCUGCGGUGCCAAUUAGAUUUGCAGAUCCUACAAAAAAUGUAAUAAAUACAUAUUUACUGGUGUAUAUUUAAUGUCAAGAGGUUAUGAAACCUGAACUGAAAAGCUAAUAAAACUGAAUGAUGGCAGCCUUGAUCAUAGAACGAAGAAUACCUCUAAAUUCAGAGACACGAAAACCAGCAAAAGCAAUGAUAACUGAAGAAUUCCUAUUAUGCCAAAGAAGCGUCACCAAAGCUUCGAGCAAUGUCACCCCAUAAAGUAAUACGAAGCUCAUCGCCACUAAAUAAAAUAAAAGCAUAUUAUAGUAAUGCUAGCAGGAAUUCAAUAUAAUAAAUAAAUUUAAUUUAUCAUUAACCGUAUAUUUUCAAUGAUGAACUCUCUUUUGUCUUCAAGUGUUUGCCCUCGAACCAAAAAUUUUUCGAUUGGUUGUAUUGCUUUCAGCCUACCAAGAACAUCUAUAUAAAUAAUUGAAUAAUUGUGUUAGUGUAAUGAAAAAACUACGUAUGAUACAGUUGGGUAGAUAAGGUUAAGAAUGAAGAAUACCUGUGAGAAGUCUUGAUCCUUUUUCUUUGUUAAGGACAUGUGCAAAAUUCGUGAAAUUAAAGUAAUAUCGUGGAAUCGAAAGUGGGAGAGAAUUGAGGCGAGUUUCUUUGGUGUUAGACUUAAGAUCAAUAACAGCUUCAUGGCCAACAACAACAUUCAUGUAUCGAUUUUCAAAGGUGUAGAAGUUUUUGACUUCAUAAUAUUCACCUUUAGUAAUGAUUGAAGAAAAAUGUGCAGCAUCUCUAGAUUUGGCUGAUCCUUGUAUUGCACCACCCUUGUUCAUCAAAAUAAGGUAAAUAAUUGGUGUCAAUGCAUAAUGGUAAGGUUAAAAUAUACAGAAUGAUGGAUGAGAAGAAAAAGUAAUCUUGAGCAUGGUAAAAUUAUAGCCUCUGGUUUUGAGGUCUGAUUGAUAAAAUCAUUUUGUGUCAUUCAUGUAGGGAUAUGUUAUUCUUAAGAAUUUGUUUUGUUAAUGCAGACAAUAAGGGGUGGUUGUUUUUGGCUAUAAUAUUAGAAAAAAUUGAAGAGGUUUUUCGUAUUGCACUAUGUUCUAUCUGUAAAUUUAGUUGAAUGGGUUAGUUGUAUAAUUGUGGUCCUAUAAGAAUUUCAAACUAUUAUUGUUAAUGAAUGAAUUAUUCUUAGCAUCUGUACAUAGGUAUGGUUAGUUUAUUAAGUUUGAAAAGACUAUAGAAAUAAUAAAAGUAUUUGUGUGGCAAAUAAGGGAUUGAUUAUAUUCCUUAAAUAUAUCCAAAAAAAAAGAAAAGAAUGCAAGCAGAGGCAAGAAUUUGAAGAAAACAAUAAUAAAGGUCAUAUUAGCAGAUAUGUUGCAUACCUCACGAUCAACAAACAGACAAUUGAAGUUUGUUGGUUGUCCAUUUUGUUUCGAAACCCAAACACGACAUACCUGAGCUCGGAUUAAAGGGUAGAAAACAUAUUUUUUAAUGUUGUGCAAAUGAAUAGCCAUUAUUCUGCAUAAAAAAAAGAGUAAAAAAUCAACAAAUAAGUGAAUAAUUAAAGAUGAGAUUAAAAUAUAAAGACAACAGUAGAUGCAAAUGGAAGUUAGAUAUGAAAAUAUAAAGAUAAUAUGGCAGAAAAGUGUCAUCAAAAAAGUAUAAAUCCUAUUUAAUUGCAUGAAGUUGAGAAUAAUGGAAUGUGUUAGGUUGUGCCUUAGCCAACCUUCCUAUUUAUAUAGAGGCAGUAGAACACUGCAGUAACUGUAAUGAUUACAACAUCCUAUAUUAGAAUCCUAUUCUGAUAGAUACAUGAGUAACUGUAAUGAUUACAACAUCCUAUAUUAGAAUCCUAUUCUAUAAUAUGCCCCCUCAAGCUGAGGGUGGGGGAUCAACCCGAAGCUUGAAUCGAAAAGUAGUAAAGGAUGCAACAGGAAGCGGUUUAGUGAAGACAUCGGCAAGUUGAUCUCGAGAGGGAAUAAAACGAAUCUGAAUUUCUUUCUUAGCAACACGGUCUCGGACAAAGUGAUAAUCCACUUCAACAUGCUUAGUACGAGCAUGGAAGAUAGGAUUUGCUGAGAGAUAGGUAGCACCAAGAUUAUCACACCAAAUGGUAGGGGCAAAGACUGAGGGAACCUGCAAAUCUGUUAACAAGUAUUGAAGCCAAAUGACUUCAGCGGUACCAUCAGCAAGGGCUUUAUACUCAGCCUCAGUAGAGGAGCGAGCAACAGUGCGUUGCUUGCCGGAUUUCCAAGAAAUCGGCGUCUGACCAAAAAAGACAAGAUAGCCGCCCGUAGACUUGCGAUCAUCAAUACUACCAGCCCAAUCUGCAUCUGUAAAGCCAUGUAGAGCAAAAGAGGAGCCUCGAGUGAUAUGGAAACCAUAAGAUGUCGUACCUUUAAGAUAGUUUUUGACAGCGGCCCAAUGAGAAUCUGUAGGAGCAUGCAUAAACUGACAGACUCUGUUAACAGCAAAGCAUAUAUCUGGACGGGUGAAGGUAAGAUAUUGAAGAGCACCCACGAUUUGACGAAAUCGUGUAGGAUCAGAGAAUGAAUGAUCCGGUAAUAAAAUGACUUUCGAAGGGGAGACUGGAGUAUCAACUGGUUUGCAGGAAGUCAUACCAGCUCGGGUGAGGAUGUCAAGAAUAUAUUUAUGUUGACGCAGCAUUAAACCCAUACUGGUAGACUGAACUUCAAUACCCAGAAAGUAGUGAACAACACCUAAGUCACGAAGCUUGAACUCAGAGCUGAGUAACUGUAUAAGGUGAUGGAGCAUAGCAGAGUUGCUACCGUGAGCAGAAUAUCAUCAACAUACACCAGGAGAUAAAAGAUAUUAGUACCAUCAGAUAAGAUAAACAGGGAGGUGUCAACCUUGGAAGCUCGGAAACCGAUGGAGAGCAAAAAAUCACUUAGACGAGUGUACCAUGCUCUCGGUGCCUGUUUCAAACCAUACAAUGAUUUGUGCAAUCUGCACACAUGAGAUGGAAGAGAAGAGUCAACGAAACCUGGAGGUUGUUUCAUGUAGACCUCUUCAGUAAGAACACCAUUGAGGAAGGCAUUAUGAAUAUCAAGCUGAUGAAUCUUCCAAUUUCGCGAAACCGCGAUAGAGAAAACCAAUCGGACAGUGGCCUGCUUAAUAACUGGACUGAAGGUUUCAGAAUAAUCAAUACCUUCCUGCUGGGUAAAACCUCUAGCAACAAGCGCGCUUUAUAGCGCUCAAUACUACCAUCAACACGACGUUUGAUCCGAUAUACCCAUCUACUGCCAACAACGUUCAUCGAAGGAUGAAAUGGAACCAAAGACCAAGUGCGAUUUUCGCGUAAAGCGGCGAUCUCAUCACACAUAGCAUUAUGCCAAACUGCAUACCGGUCAGCAUCAGAGAAUGCAAAAGGCUCAGAAGAGGUACAGUACCCGUGUGGAGGUAGAAGUAGCGGCAGCGGAAGCAACCAGAUUAGCUGUCUUCGGCUGCCGCGGUCUAAGAGUCAUAGGAUGUCUGCUGUGCUGGUGGAGACGCAGGGGAAGACGGUUGUAGCGAGGAGACCUGUGGCAGCUGAUAAGAAGACAAAUCAACCAUAAGUUGCAGACCAGCGGGAGAGGAUGAUAAAGAAGCAGCCUCAAGCACAGGACUGUCAGCAGAGGAGGGGCUGGAAGUAGAGACUGAAGCUGCAGGAGUGCUGGCCAGGGGGGCGAAGCAGAGGAGGGACUAGAAAGUGCCCCAAGACCAUGAGGAGAGGAGACCAAUUGACGAUCUGAACCUGCAUCAUAAGGGUUAGAUAAACAAGCAUGGGAUGAUGGCCAAGGGAUGGGUGGAGGCUGUGGUCGGGUGGCUGUUUGGAGUGGCAAAGCGGAGUGUUGUGGGCUGUUUGGGUGGCUAGUGAAAGUGGGUGUGGGUGGUUUAGCAAAUUUGGGAGGGUGACAGUAGCGGGUGGGGUGGGGUUGUGGUGGAGACCUUUGCAAUCUGUUCAGAAUUAUCAAAUGGAAACACAUGUUCAUGGAAGCGGACAUGACGGAAAUAUAAAUACGGUGAGAUGCAAUGUCAAGACAUCGAUAACCAAGAUGCGAGGAACUAUAUCCAAAAAACACACAUGGAGAGGAACGAAAAUCCAAUUUAUGAUUAUUAUAUGGACGCAGAAAAGGAAAACAGAGACACCCAAAGGUACGCAAAAAAUGAUAAUCAGGAGACCGUUGAAAUAAACAAUCAAACGGAGAGCGAUGGGCAAGAAUAGGAGUAGGCAUGCGAUUUAUAAGAUAAACAGAGGUUUCAAAAGCAUAAUUCCAGAAUCGAAAAGGUGCUUUACAUUGCCCUAAAAGAGUAAGACCUGUUUCCACAAUAUGCCUAUGACGACGCUCUACUGUUCCAUUUUGUUCAUGAGUGUGGGGACAAAUCAGACGAUGAUGAAUACCAAUGGUCUGAAAAAAUGUGGAUAGUUUUCGGUAUUCACCGCCCCAAUCAGUUUGAACAGAUUUUAUUUUUAAUGAAAAUUGACGUUCGACAAGAGUCUGAAAUUGAUGAAAAACAGAGUAAACAUCAGACUUGGCAACGAGAGGAUAAUACCAUACAUAUUUAGUAUAAGCAUCAACAAAGAUAACAAAAUAACGAUAGCCAUCUGAAGAAAAAAGAGGAGCAGGGCCCCAUACAUCACUAAAAAUUAAUUCAAGUGGAGCAGAAGUUUUGUGACCGUAGGUCCUAAAGACAAACGCGAUGAUUUUCCUAAAGGACAACUUUGACAUUGAAAAUUAAGACGUUUGUUGUUACAAAUGAUCUUAUUUUUCGAGAUUAACAAUUGAAAAAUACGUGAAGUAGGAUGACCUAGUCGACGAUGCCAUAAAUCGGCAGAGGCAGAAGUGCAGGGAGACCAAUAGGCUUGAGGAACUGACGUGACGAAGACUUGGUCAGGGCAUAGAGACCAUCUUUACUCUGACCUGAGAGAAGGACUUCAUGGGUGUUGAAAUCCUUGACAUAAAACACACGAGGGUGAAAUUCAAAAUAAACAUUAUUAUCAAGACAAAAUUUCUGAACAGAGAGAGAGGUUUUGUGAUUGCAGGAACAUGAAGAACAUUAGAUAAGGUGAAAGAACGAUGUGGUGUAUAUAUUUUUGUAUGACCAAGAUGAGAUAUAGGAAGGCCCUUACCAUCACCAACAUGCAAAUUAUCAUUACCAAGAUACGGUUCUGAAGCGGUCAAGGUGGCAAGAUCAGGUGUGACGUGUUGAUUGGCACCGGUAUCUGGAAACCAAUCAACAGAACCGGUUGAGGAGAGAUUGCGCUGCACCAGGUUGGCAGUAGGUUGUUGGCCAUAACCUCGCUGCUGGAAUUGAGGGCAAUGGGGAGCUGUAUGGCCGAAAUUCUGACACAGUUGGCAGCGUGGAUUCUGCCCCUAUUGCGCUGCCAAGAGCCCUGCCUAUUGUCACCGAAGGAGGAGUUUUGGAAGCUGCGGUGAUCAGGUCUGGAGCCAGCAAAUCGGUUGCCUCUGCUGUUGGACUGGUUGGGACGCCAGCCACCGUUGAAGCGGCCCUACGCCAGAAUUGCCAAAAGUCUGGCGCUGCAACAAGAGCAGAAGAUGGAAUGCUGGGUGUGGGCAGCAGAGGAGCAUGUAUGGCAGCAGAAGAUUUGUGAAGAAAUUCAUGUGUGAGGAGAUGGCUGUGAAGAUCUGCAUAUGAUAAAGGUUCAGCCUUGGUAAUAAGACUGGUAACUAAGUCUUUAAACUCUCCCCGAAGACCACGAAACACAUAUAAAUUGAAAUCUUCAAGCGAAACUGGCCGACCAGCAGCGGCCAAUUCAUCAAAUAAGGCCUUCGCUUUUUGCAUAAAUUGAGUUACUGAUUCAUCACCCUGUCGAAGAUCCUGAAGAGAGCCGUGAAGUUGCAUAAUACGAGAGUUGGAGGUGGAAGCGAGAGCUCGCUCAAGAGUGCCCCAAGCUGAACAAGAACUUUGACAGCCAACAACAAGAUGCAAAACUUCCAUAGAUAGGGAGGAAAGAAGAGCACUUAGAAUGAGUUGGUCCUGUUGUUUCCAGGUUUGAAAAAGCGGAUUUACCUGAAGAGAGAUACCAUCAUGGGCAAGAACAUGUGUUGAUGGACAUGUGUUGGAGCCAUCAACAAAACCAAAAACUCCUUGGCCUAGGAGAUAAGGCAGCAUCUGCAUACGCCAAUAUAAAUAAUUGGUGUUUGUUAAUUUGAGGGAGAUGACUUGAUGAGUGUGAGAAAGGGAGAUAAUGCUUGCGGCAGUAGAGGCAGCAGACGUGGGCUGCAAGAGGAGGCGUUCACCAGCCAUGGCAGAGGAGAAUCCAGGCGGUGACGCAGUAGAGGAAAGCAGAGGAGGCGCUGCAAGAGAAGAGGGUUGCACUGUCGGAGAAGAAGAAAGCUGGACUGCUGGUGCUGCAGAAUUUGAAGAUGUAUGUGGCGGCUGUUCCAUUGAAGAAGGGAGGUUGGGAGGCUAUGAGAAAAUUAGGUUUAAUUUAUUUUAGGGUUUUGUGGCUCUGAUACCAAGUUGAGAAUAAUGGAAUGUGUUAGGUUGUGCCUUAGCCAACCUUCCUAUUUAUAUAGAGGCCGUAGAACACUACAGUAACUGUAAUGAUUACAACAUCCUAUAUUAGAAUCCUAUUAUGAUAGAUACAUGAGUAACUGUAAUGAUUACAACAUCCUAUAUUAGAAUCCUAUUCUAUAAUACAUGAAAUGUUAUUUAGAUCAUGAAUACAUGUGUAUGGCAAUUGAUUAUUUUUAUACAUGUAUGGCAGAGGUGAAAUUAAUAGAUGAAAUAAAUUAAUGGUUAGGAAUAACAAAAAUUAAGAAUUACUUUAAUAGAUGUUUUAUACUAUGUUUUGAAACGAUUUGCAUGCCCAUGCAUUAUAGAUAGUAGCAGUAUUUCUCGUAUAAACAUGUUAAAAUAUUGGAGAGAAGGUCGGUUCAAAUUUUAUAUUUGUAGUCGAAUUAUGACCUUAAUCAAUUUGAAAUCAAGUUGAUUUCAAUAAUAACUCUACAUGCACGCUGGAUAGAAAUAUAAAUAAAUUUGUUGAGAUAUUUUAGAGGUGUAGAUAAAAUUAUUACUCAAAUCUUGGAUAAAUCAAUUACAAUAUUUCUAUUUGGAUUAGCAGGUGGCAUAGAUAUCUGAAUUAGCUAACUACAUAUAUAUUAUAUAUAUAUAUAUAUAUAUAGUAUCAUGUAGCAUUCCACCAAUCACACGUAAAAGAAAUAAAGAGAAAGAAAGAGAGAUGGCUGAAGGUGCUUUUAUUCUAGCACGUGGUGGAAAGGAAUACGUUGCAAUGUUAACUUUCACGGUGUUCCUGAGUUGUUUUUUUGCAGCAAUAGGAGGUUUGAUUUUUCGUUAUGAUCGUGGCAUUUCAGGGGCGUAAUAAUGUAGAAUUAAGCAGUUUAUAUUUUAAGAUGCAAUAAUCUUAUCUUGAUUUUUAUGUGUUUCUAAGUAUUUAUUUAUUUUGUAUACUAAUUUUAUGUCUAUGAUGUUUGUUGGUGUUGAAGAAGAAAAAAAAAAUUAACAAUGAUUUGCACUGGUUUUGUUUGUGUUUAGCGUGAAUGAAUAAUUAAUUGUAGGAAUUCGAGGUUAGUUGAUAAGAGGUUCGAAGAUUGGAAUUAGGCUUUUUUCUAUAGUCUUGUGUGGACCUACGAUGCACACUUUGUUCAUGAGAUGUGUUCUAAAUAUAAGUUACGUAAUAAAUUCGUUGUGUAUUAAUAAAUUUUUGCUUUAUUAGUUGUGUGUAUUGAUAGAGAAAAUUGAAGAAUUCAAUCAUUGAUAGUUUGAUUGCCCUGUUAUCUCUGUUUUUUACAAUUCGUGUGUUUAUUAUUUGCUUGCCUUAUAGCUCAACAUAGCAUUCAAAGGACUAUAAUAUUCACCUGAUCAGAUAGUUCUAUGGGGCGCAGCUAUGGUGUUAUGUUCAAGCAAUAUUGCAGCUGUCAAGUAAACUAAAAAAUUAGUCUCGUGAUGGGCACAAAAAAAUCCCCGAUAAGUAAGUUUUUUGGGUCAUUUUUUGAAUUUCUUUUGAAAUUUGUAGUGAUUUCUGCUAAAUGUUUUCUUUUUGUUUAAAACUUGUUAAGGCAUUACUGUCAUUGUUGCAUUUGAGAACAGAAGGAUGUACAUUUAUUUAUAAUGAUUUUGUACUGGAUAUUUAAAUAUUGUGUGCCUUCUCCAUUGAUUGAAUUUUGUUGAGGUUUUUUUAAACUAAUAUCCUGAUCCAAUCAAUUGCGUAAAAUUUUUAAUAUAUGUGAUAAUUACAGUAUGUUGCUGUGAAAAUUUUCAUGGAGCAAGGCUUUCAUGCUGAACGCUUUAAGGAAUUUCUUAGGGAGGUGUGUUUUAUCUAGAAUUGAUUGUGAUGUGCACUAAGCUGAAGAAUUUUUUUGAAACAUCGCUAUUUAUGUUCCUUGGAAUUGUCGCUCAUAAAGUUUGAUUGUGAAGUGGAGAAAUAAAUAUGCUAAGAGUUAUAAGGAAAAGUGGAGAAAUAGAGAAGUGAAACUUGUAUAAUACAGCAGUGAAAAAUAAGUUUACAUGCAGAGGCAUGAAAUAAGACGAAAACAAAAAUAUUGAAUGCAGCUGAUACGGGUGGACCAAACUGGACAAAGAAAGAAAUAUGAAACCAUAUGGGUUAGGAGUUGAUGAAACCAGCACACGCUGCAGAAUCGUAGAAACAAAAAGAAAAGAGAAAAGACAUAAGUUUCUUUUUGAUGAACAUGGCAAUCAUGAAAAGAGGCAUAAAUGAUGCACAACCAAACUGCAGAAUCAGACAUAAAGUCAAAGAUAGUUGAUGUUUAAUGAAAUAAAAUCACUCGUUUGUCAGGUGGCUAAUUCAUGUAAACGUCGAUAUUUAGAGAUUUGUGAUUCUAAUUUUAUUUCUAUACCACUGUUCUUUCAAGCGAUAUUUAGAGAAAGCUUAUGAAGUUUAUGGCUACCAAACUAUAGGUCCAUCAUGGCUACCAAACUGCAGGUAGCGAUAUUGACAAAACAUAUCAAAUUUGCAUUGCAUGGACUAAGGGCUGUGAAGGAAAAAAUACUUACAUGAAAAAACAAAGGUAGGCAGCAAAGUCGUUGAUCCAAAGCAGAAAAAUAAAUAGUAGACGAAGCGAGAGACUACCCUGAAAAAACAUGGAAAAAACUUAUGAAAAAUAUAGGAGCAUGAGAAAUUAUAGUUCGUAUGCAGCAAAAAACAAAAGGUCGAAAAACUUAAAUAUAUUAUAGUUAAAAUGGAAUUAAGUUUGAAUUUUUUUUUUUAUGUUGCAAGAAGACUCAUAGAUGUUCAAGCUUGUGAUUAGAAAAUUUUAACACACAAAAGAUACAACAAUGAAUAAAAAGAUUACCUUUUGGUAAUAAUUGAAUGAUAUCUUUGUAAACAAUGUUUUUGGCAUAACAUGAUGGUUUUCCUUCAUGAUCGAAGGAAAAGAUUUUAAGCCCAUUCUUUGAUGUAACUCUUGAUAAAGCAACAUAUAAUUGACCAUGACUAAAAACUUGUUCUUUCAAGAAGACACCAACAAUCUUAAGUGAUUGUCCUUGGCUUUUAUUAAUAGUCAUAGCAUAGCAAGGCCUAAUAGGAAAUUGUCUUCGUUUGAUUGUGAAGGGGCAUUUUUUAUCAUUAACUGGAAAGACAAUUCGUGGAAUAAAAACUCGAUCUCCAAUGUUAGACCCGGUAAUAAUUUGGGCUUCAAUAAUUUGCUCGGCAAGCUGCGUAACAAUAAGCCUUGUUCCAUUACAUAAACCAGCAGAGGGACUAAGGUUCCGAAGUAACAUAAUCGGUGUGCCAAUUUUCAAAGAAAUACUGUGUUGGGGCACACCAUUUGUCAUAACCCAAUUUUUGACCAUUUUUAUUUUUUAUUAUUUUAUUUAUUGAAAAGGAAAAAAAUUGAUGAAAAAAUAAUAAUAAUGAUGAGAAAACAAGUAAAAUGAAAUAAAUGAAGAAUGAAUUAAUAUUUGGGUUAAUGGAAAAAUGAUUGAAAGUUUUGGGGUUUAAUUAAACUUUGAAAUUAAUUUAAUUAAUCUUGGAGUUAAUUUAUUUAAUCCAAUUAAGGGUUUAAUUGGAGAAUUGAUAAGUUUUGAGAUUUAAUUAAGCUUGAAAUUAAUUUAAUUCAUCCAAUCAAGGAUUUAAUUGGAGAAUUGAUAAGUUUUGAGACUUAAUUAAGCUUGAAAUUAAUUUAAUUCAUCCAAUCAAGGAUUUAAUUGGAGAAUUGAUAAGUUUUGGACUUAAUUGAGCUUGGAAUUAAAUUAUUCAGGGACUUAAUUAAGAAAAUAUCAAAGUUUGGGGUUUGAUUGGGGUUCAAAUUGCAAACAUCAAAAUCCAAGGACCAGCUUGAAAAUGGCGCCGAAAUGCAGGGGUCCAGUUACAAUUUAAACAGGGACUUAAUUACAAAAUUGUCAAAAAUGCAAGGUCGAAAAUGCAAAUAGCAAUUAAACACCAAAAACGACGCCGUUUUCCCUUUGCUGUUCAUCUUCUUCCCGACUGAAACGGACGCACACCGCCGCACAGCCAUUACUCCUGCAGUUAUCACACUUAAUGGUUGGAAGAAAACGCAUUGUUUUCUCUGGCUAUAAAAGCCAUGGAACGACUGAACACCAGGGGCGGAUUUUUUACUGAAAAAAAAAAAAGAAAAGGAGCAGAACCGAGGAGGGAGAAAGAAAGAAAGCCAUGCACGGCAGGGGGAGAGGGGAAGACACAGAAUCAGUUUCAACCAUCUCUUCACCAUCUUCAGCAACUCUUCAGCCUCCAGCAACCCAGACAGGAGAAGAACCCCCAUCGACUUGACUAAGGGAGAACACUGGAAACAAAGAACGGAGCAGAACGAGACAGACAGGGGAGACCGAGAGAAGACCAGGAACCGAAACAAAGAAACACAGAGGACAACACAGAAAAAAAAGGGACGACUGGAGAAGCAAACGCAAACAAAACCAGAGGAAGAAGCUUGAAAAACGAAGAGAGGACCAGCGUCACCACCGACUGCCUCUUCUCCAGCAUCAGCUUCCAAAACCAGAGGAGGAAGCUAAAAAGGAGAGAGGAACGAGCAGCUGACAGAAGGAACACACCGACAGAAGGGAAACGAACGAACACAGGGAUCUUGAGGACCAAGAAAGACUGAAAAAAUCCGGACUGCCAUUUCCAGCACCAGGUAAGUUACGUUUUCCCUUCUUGCAUUUUAAUUACCAGCUCCUACAGCAGGCGUGCGUGAGCUGCUCACGCACGCCUGCUGGUAAAAAAAAAUGGCCAGCCGGGUCAAGCUUGUGACCCGGCUGGGCUGGCUGGGUCUAGCCCAGCCCAUGUGGGCUGCGCUGGGCCCAGCCCCAAAAAAAUAAAAAAUAAAAACAGAAAAAUAAAAAAGGUAGAAAAAUAAAAUAAAAAAUGUGUAUCAUGAAUAAAAAUAAUGUAAAUUUAUUGGUUUAUUCACUGACGCCAGAGUCAGGAAUAAAAAUACCAGUUUAAAUUUAUAUUAUUUUUAUUCGUUGUAUUUUAUUUUAUUUAGCUAGAAAAAUAAAAAAAUAUAUGCAUGCAUAAAAAUAAAUUUAUUUUUAUUUGUUCACUGGUGCUAGAGUAGGAAAUAAAGAAUAUUGAUCUAAUUGUUUAUUAGCUACGAAUUUUUAUCAACGCCAGAGUUGGAAUUAUUCGAGCUCGAAUAUUCACUGACGCCAGAGUCAGGAAUAUUAUAAACAAAUCAUCAUAGCAUAAAUUAAUAAAUAUUUAGCAAUUUAAGACAAAACCAACAAUGCAGUCUGCCUUAGGCAGAACGUUUAAGGGGUGAUAAUAUCUUCCCUUUUACGUAACCAAUCCCGAGCCAUAGAAUCUCUGUUGACCAGUUAGGGUUCCUAGUGACCAUAAUACUAGGUGGCGACUCCUCAAACAAGACAUUUUUUUUUUCUAAAAGAACCGGAUGCCAGAAUCUGUUCUUUUUCCAAAAUCAAGAGAAUUAUAUUUUUAGAGCCGCCGCGAUGUCGGGUGUGACAGAAUGGCGACUCCACUGGGGACUUAGGAUUAAGCUUUGUCUUUUGUCUUAUUAUUGCUAUUUUUUAUUAUUAUUUUUUGUUGUUGUUGUGUUUAUUUGAUUAUUUUUUCCUGCAUUUAUUGCUUUAGCAUGCAUCCUUGUUUAUGUUGUCAUGCAUCACUUUGGGAGCACACACUUUACAACCUAGGAUAAGUGGGGAAGUAACGGUACCCCAAUGGCUUUAGCCUGGGUAAGACUCAUGAAACCAUCCAACUCUCGCUUGAUUGUUUACUUGGAAGUGGUUGAUAUGCCAAACUGAUAUUACUCAGGGCCUCUAUCUUCACACUACUUGUAAGCCUCAUAUCGACCUUUCAUGGACGAUCACUGAGCAUGCGAAAGACCCUUUGAGACUAGAUAAUGACCAACCCCUUGAUGCACUCAAUAAUUAGGAUCUUCCAAUUAGGUUGUCAUCCCGUGAAGGGCAAGUACGCAUUUCAUAUGCAUUUUUUUUAUUUUUUAUUAUUGCUUUAGCAUUUUUGCAUAAUUGCAUGAUUUACAUUUAGCAGGUUGAAAUAUAGGUCCCCCAUUGAAACUCAUUUAUAAUACUCUUUCGAGAAAAAGACAAAUGAAAAAUGAAGAAAGAGCCCAGUUGGAAGCCCAACAUCAAAAAGAGGUGGACAAUCUUAAGGAAGAAGUCGCAAGGCUUACUAGUCUACUCGAGCAGGCCUUGAGAGAUAAAUCCGGAAAAGAAACACUUAUAGCUCAGCCUGGAUAUAUGCAUGUAACUCAUUUCGAUCCACAGAAUCUGGGGGCAAAUAGGGAGUCAUCUGAAUUUCAACAAGCUAUGCAUUUCCAGCCAGCAUACCCUUCAAGAAUUUCAUCUACCACUGAUUCCACCGAGAAAGAAUCUCAAAAGGGCAAGAUGGUGAAAGAAGAGGAUUUGGAAAAAUGGACUACCCUAGAGAAGAGGAUAAGGGCAGUUGAGGGAAACCAUUUGUGUGACCUGGUGAAAGCUGUCAAUAUGUGUUUGGUGCCCAACGUUGUCAUUCCCAAAAAGUUUAGAGUGCCAGAAUUUGUCAAAUAUACGGGAACUCAAUGCCCUAUAACUCAUCUUAAAGCAUAUUGCAACAAAAUGGCUGAGGUGUUUGAUGAUGAGAAACUGCUGAUUCAUUUUUUUUCAGACAGCUUGAGUGACGCUGCCCUCACUUGGUAUAUGUGGUUGGACAAUACCAAGGUUAAAAAAUGGAAGGACUUAGUUGAUGCCUUCAUGAGGCAAUAUAAGUUCAAUAUAGACGUGGGUCCUGAUCGGUUAAGCUUGCAAGCUAUGGAGAAGAACAACAAGGAGUCCAUAAGAGAAUAAAAACAGAAAAAUAAAAAAUAAAAACAGAAACAGAAAAAUAAAAAAGGUAGAAAAAUAAAAUAAAAAAUGUGUAUCAUGAAUAAAAAUAAUGUAAAUUUAUUGGUUUAUUCACUGACGCCAGAGUCAGGAAUAAAAAUACCAGUUUAAAUUUAUAUUAUUUUUAUUCGUUGUAUUUUAUUUUAUUUAGCUAGAAAAAUAAAAAAAAUAUGCAUGCAUAAAAAUAAAUUUAUUUUUAUUUGUUCACUGGUGCUAGAGUAGGAAAUAAAGAAUAUUGAUCUAAUUGUUUAUUAGCUACGAAUUUUUAUCAACGCCAGAGUUGGAAUUAUUCGAGCUCGAAUAUUCACUGACGCAGAGUCAGGAAUAUUAUAAACAAAUCAUCAUAGCAUAAAUUAAUAAAUAUUUAGCAAUUUAAGACAAAACCAACAAUGCAGUCUGCCUUAGGCAGAACGUUUAAGGGGUGAUAAUAUCUUCCCUUUUACGUAACCAAUCCCGAGCCAUAGAAUCUCUGUUAACCAGUUAGGGUUCCUAGUGACCAUAAUACUAGGUGGCGACUCCUCAAACAAGACAUUUUUUUUUUCUAAAAGAACCGGAUGCCAGAAUCUGUUCUUUUUCCAAAAUCAAGAGAAUUAUAUUUUUAGAGUCGCCGCGAUGUCGGGUGUGACACCAUUAAAGUCAAGCUGGUUGAUAAAUUCAAUUGGAUACAAUAAAUCGAUGUUGUCAAUAUCACCAGAAGUUGUUUGGAUAGAAUCACAACUAAGAAAGUUGUAUUUAUGACCAGGUAUAAUAUCAAGGAUAAAAAUAUUAAUCUCAGAAACAGUUACAUUCUUCGGUGUAACAAUUGCUCUGUCUUUAAAGUAGAAUGGGUCAAGAUGAGCCCUUUCAAUGUCAGGAUAUAUGGCAGAGACAAUAGCUGCAAUUGGAGAAUCAAUCACUUCAACCUGAAGCUCACAUGGGAUUUUGAUAAAUGCCGCAUCAUGAUCAUCCGAAACAGCCAAAUCACAUAUUUGUCCAUCACCAAUUAAAAGGAUUCUGCAAACUGUCUAAGUUCAUCCUUUUGGUCUAGGCUUAAACCUUCAGCUGAUAGUCACAUAUUUUGAUUCAAAGUAAGGAAUGUGAAUGCAGACCAAAGCAAUGAGCUAGUAAAAGAAGCAUUAAUUAUUUCUUCUUUUGUUCCUCCAGGUAUAACAGGAAGAAUUUGUCGGAAAUCUCCACCUAAUAAGACAGACUUGCCACCAAAUGGAUUGUUAAGUCUAAGAACAUCUCGUAGAGACCUGUCUAAAGCUUCAAAACAGAAUCUAUUAUUCAUUGGAACCUCAUCCCAAACAAUGAGUGAUGUCAUCUCUAGUAGUCGUGAAAGGUGAGUGUUGUGUUUAAUCUCGCAUGUUGAACUCUCAUUAACUUCUAAUGGAAUUUUAAAUCUAGAAUGGGUUGUUCGCCCUCCAGGUAAUAGAAGAAAAGCUAUUCCAGAUGAGGCAACAGCAAGAACAAUUAAACCUUCAGAUCUAACUCGAUUAAUAAUUGUAUGCCAUAAAAAAGUCUUUCAUGUUCCACCAUGACCAUGAACAAAUAUGAGCGCUUUUCUCUUUUGUAGUAUAGAUGUAAUAACAGAAUCAUAGAUGUUUUUUUGACAUGGAUUAAGAAGAGGCAUAAUCAAUGAAUGGUUAUUUCUAAGCUCAGCAAGAUCAUAGUCAAGCUCUUCCCUUAAAAGUUUGUUCCUGACUUCAUCCAUCAAUCGACCAUUCGGCAUUGGAAGUUUAUGAUCUUCCAAUGAUGUUCCGGAAGCAUUAAAAAGUUGUUCAAGUUCCUACAGCACAUAGUUCUUAAGUUCGUCAUCAGAGAAACAAACAUUCAACAUUGAAAAAGAAGAUCUCAGAUGAUAUUCAAUGUCAUCAUGCAUAGAGUGCCAAAAUUGAUCGAAAAGACUAUUUGGAUCAGCAACCUCGCAAAACAUAAUAAUAUUAACAAAAAAUUGCCUUAGCUGCGGAGAAGAAGCUGUUGGAAUAGCCUCACCAAAUGCAUCUGACCAUUCUUUAUCAUCUCCUAAGAGUCCCAAAGCCUUGCAUGCAAGUUGAAAAGUUGGAAAUAUUGUACCAGAGAUUUGCCGCAAGUCUUCAAAGCUCUUUGCUCCUUUAACAUGAUUAAGUAACAUUCUGAGAAAAUACAACUCUCCAGCUACAGGAUGGACAUACACAAUGCGACCAAGGCAAAAUCCACGUGAUCUAAUAAUCCAUUCUUUUUGCCUAGCAUCCCAAACAUACUUGCUUGGAAACUGUGAGUAAAAUAGAUCUCGUGCAUUGACAUCAACUCUGUUGCGCUCAAACCACUCUGUGAGCAUUAUCUUAUUAAUGCCAGGCCUUUUAAGAAGUGAUGAUAAGGAUUGAUUACCUGAAAAAAAAUACAUGGUGCUGUAAUGGUAGAUGGACUUGAAGUCUUUCAACAGCUGGGCUCCUUGAAUGGAUCGGGAAUUGGAAUAAUCGCCAUACUGCUUCAUAUGGACAAAUGAAUCUACAGUUUAGAUAAGCUUGUAUUUCAUCAUCAGCCUCUUUCUUCAUAACCAUUCUGCAUCGAUCAGCUCCUUUGCUAACAUACUUAAAAAGAUACUUGAUAAGUAGAGAUUGACAACAAAUUUCAACAUUAAUGUGUGCAUUGUAUCGAAGCAAAAGUUCUUUGUUGUACGGGACAACAUGACAAUUUGACAGGGAAAUGUCAUUUCUAACAAUGUGACUCAUAGGCUGCAUGCGUCGUUUAUAGUAAACAAAACCAUUCUCACCAAAGAUGGUCACAUCUUUGUUUUUUUUUUUUUGAAAUUGUUUGGAACAUUUAUUCUUUUCCAUACAUUGAGCCUUUGGAUUUGCAGCGCCGCAUGGACCAUGCAUCAUAAAUUUUGAAACUAUCUCAAAGCAAAUAGGAUCUUGAUGCUUGUCAGGUAUUUCAGCUGAAAUAAUAGAGUCAACAUCCUCAGGCGAACGGAAUUUGAAUUCUGGAGCUAGCCAAACUAACAAAUGAGUAUGCGGCAAACCUCUUUUUUGAAACUCCACAGCGCAAACAUCUAAAAAGAGAAUGCAAGUAAAGAAGUAAAAACGGAUGUUUGUAGAAGGAUAAAAAUAGAAACUUGAAAUUUAAGAAAUAAAAAAAAAUACCAGCAAUUGUCCGUCCAAAAGGUUUUCCAGACUUGAUGAAUGACAUAAUAUCAAUUAGUUUGGAAUGAAAUACCCUUGCUAUGAUGUCAGGUUUGUCCUCACGUUGAUAGCCCCUUGUUUUUUUAAUUUCUCGGUGAAUUUCAGGCCAAUUAACAUUGCAGGUAAAUGUGAUAAAAAGAUCAGGAUUCCCAUAACAUCUACAUAUGGCCAUAGCAUCUUGGUAAUUAUUAACCAUAUACCGAGGGCUUCCUGUUAAAGACGAUGGAAGUAUAAUUUUCCCUGUAGUUGAUCCAUCAGUAUCACCUCUAGUAAUAGCAUCAUGUAUUCCUUUGUAAUGCUCACUUCUAAGAUUUUCUUGGUUUGCACGUAUAAAAUCUAAACGUUCCUCUUCAACAUUAACAAAUGCAUCAACCAAAAAUUGUUGGUACAAUCGUCUGCCUUUUAUGAGAGUGCUUUCUUGUUUUUCUCUUUCAUGAAUGAGAUAAGCAUAAUAGGCUCUCAUUGAAACCUUUUGUCUUUUUUUAGGUGGUUGCUGCUCUUGAUGAGCUAAUGGAAUAUCAGUGUGGAAACCAUCCUCACCAUAUGGAAAAAGAAGUGGGUAAUGAAGGGACAUAAAUUUUGGAUGAAGCUUUGAGAUCCUCUGAAGUGUUCCAGAUAAACUUUCAAUAAUUAUGUCUCGAUCAGAUCGACAAUGACCAAUGUCCCCAACAACCAAACCACCAAUGUCAUUUAAAGAAGGAUCGUCGUAUUGCCUUGAGUCAUCAUCUCUUUUACCAAUUAACCGAAGUUUGAAUUCUGGAACCUCGACAUCCCCAAGUCUUUGUCGAGCAUGACGGAACAAACAAACCAAUUGAUUAGAUGAAUCAACCAUAUUGAUUAGCCCAACAACAAUGUCACUAUCCAAGAUUGAUUGAAAAUUUUCAUUGCAGAAUGGUUGCAGCCGGUUAGAAACCUUAUUAUCUGUAUCAAAAAUAUAAAGCUGCGCAAACUUGGGGCCUUUGUUAUCCAUGGGAAGAAGAGAACCCAUAAAAUGGUGGUAGUAUCCAUUGACCUUAAAAAUAUAAGAUCCAGGUCGAGAAUUAACAUUGAGUUAUAAGCACGAAUUUCACGACGAAAUGUUUUACAUGAUGAACCAUUGUUUGGGUUAAGGAGGUUAUCAAGGUAGUUAGGUGUUUCUUGUGGAGCAGGAAGCACCACCUUCCCAUUAUUACAACAAAGUGUAAAGCAUGGGCUUGUUUUAGAUGAACUGGCCAAGCGUUCUUGCAACCAAAAAAGAGUGUCGCAAUGCUUACACUUGUAUGUUUUAUCGCCAAAAUCAAUGUAUUCAAUUAAAUAACCUGUAAAAAAUGAAGGUAAGAUACUUCAAGGAAUGAUAUAAAAGAGAUAAUUACAAAUAAAGGAAAAAUGGCUACAAAAGGUACAUGAUUGGAUUACAUACGCCUUUUUUUUUCUGAUAUGAUGCUUGGCUUAUAAUAGAUUGAUGAUUAACGGUUUGCUCAGAGAAUCCUUCAGAUUCAUGACUUGAAACUACAUCACUACAGUGAAAUGAAUCAAGGGCGGUAGAUUGUGGAGGAUUGGAUUGCCUUGCAGCACUAAUUUGAUUAGUUCCAGUUUGCACUAUGUUGCUUGAUAAGGAGAAGGUGGUUUGUAUAUCUAUGUGCUGGCGUGAACAGACCAAAGUGCCGACCCCUUGAGUAUGUUGUGGAGCAGAUGGUGUAUUUGAAGAGCUUGGGUUAUCGGAUAGCAAGAUUCUAUGAACGGGGGUUUCAUAGUCAUUCAAAACAAAUUGUGAGGAUUGAGAAGAUGGCAUAUACCCAUCCGGUUGAACAUGUCCGUCAGGACUUGUCAUGUUGUUGCUCUAAAGAAACCAUGGAAAUAAAACACGAAGUUAAAUGAAAGGAAAACACAAAAAAACCAUGAUUAGUACAUGAUCAUGGCCAAGUGAAGGGAAACACAAGGAUAGAGAAAAUAUUAAUGACAUGUGUUUUCUAAAGAAACCAUGUAAACAUAGGGAUAAUAAGUAAUUAAAAAACAAAACAUAAUGAAAUUAAGUGUUGGCCAAAGAUUAAUUGGCUUGUAAGGUGAAGGAAUUACAUUAGACUAAAAUCUUUGAUAUAUCAUGAGACAUGAUGAUAGGGCAGGCUUAGCUAAAAACACAACUCCUUAGUUCAGGAAAGGAUGAAGAUAUAACAAUAAAAGAUCAAGCAAUAAAAAAAAAGACAUUAUGUGUUGCUAAACACAGAAAUACCAUAACCAUGAUUACGCAUGCAAGGAAAUAGAAAUGCAUAAAGUAAAUAACAGAAAGGCACAAAACAAACCUGAGAAAAUACCGACGAUAAAUAAAAGUGGCCGCUUUAAAAGAUCUGAAAGACAAAGUUAAAUUUUGAUUAAUAUGUGCAAGAAUAAAAACAAACAGACACACGGUAUAAGACCUAGAGAAUGAGGCAUGAAAAAAAAAACAAAAAUAAAAAUAAAAGAUGAGGCAACAUGUUUAGGUAAAAGAAAUUAAGAUCACAAUCUCAGCAAGCGCUUAAAAAAAAACACCAAAGAAAAAAAGGAAAAAAAGCUAGAACAAUCUUUGUAAUUUGUUUAAUGAGAGUGUCCUUUGUCCUGCAAUGUUUUUUAAAAAAUUAAAACAUAGGAUAAGAAAUUUUUUAUUUUCGAAAUUGUCCUAUAACCCAUAGUUUGACUCAUGCAAACAUUGCUAAAAACACUAAGGACCCGUGACCUGCUUUCUUUAUAUGAACAUUAGGCAUGUGAAAUUUGUUGCAAGCUCGUGCUCCAAACGAAUAAUAAUAAUUAAUAUAACCUCAUUAUAAAAGUAUAAAUCCUAAGUUAUUUCAUGAAAUGUCACCCACACCAUCAACACAUGUAUAGCAACCAUGAAGAAAAAAGUGUCUAUUUGUACAAACCAACGAACACUUUGAAUUUCUCUUUUCACAUCAGAUGUAAAACGAUAUUGUUUCAAAUUUUGUUUUUCUCUCAAGUACAAUGGAAAAAGUAAUGCCCACACCUCAAAAAAAAAUGUCUUAAUGAAUAUAAUAUAAUCCAAGCUUCAAUUCUGAUCAUGAGAAAGAUAUAUAAAUUAAUAUUGAAUAUGAUGAAUCAUAUGUGUUCUGAAAACCAAUAUUUAUGAGCAAAGCUAGUUUGUUUUUGCCGCCAGCAAUGAACGGCCAUGUAAAUUGUUUCAAAACCAGCAUGAAAGAACUGUCAAUGAGCAACGGCUGCCUCUUUUUGUUGUUUGCAUAAUGACCGCCCAUACUCUCCUUUCCAUUAUUCCUAUAUACGUCUUGCCCCAACAAUUCUAUGAAUCGCAUCUCCGAUGGAGUUUCAAGAUGCAAACUUAGCAGAGCGGUUCCAAAACGAAGAAGCUAAGCAGCAAGCAAGCACCAAACAUCUAUGCCGAAUAGGUAGCAUAUUCAUGAACUUUUUGUGAUGUGGAUAGGUGGAGAGCUGUAGACAGUUUUGGUGGUUAUUUUUAAAAAUAUAUUUUAUUUUAAAGUAUAUUAAAAUAAUAUUUUAUUUUAAUUUUUAAAAUUUAUUUUUGAUAUUAGCAUAUCAAAAUAAUCUAAAAAUAUUAAAAUAUAUAUUAAUUUAAAAUAAAAAUUAAAUUAAAUUUUGUUCUAAGCACAAAAAUAAAUAAAGUGUCUUUUACGAUUCCUUUAGACAAGCACGCACCGAUCCCCAUGUGCAUGUUCCCAUUGACCAUUGCCCCAUGAUAUUUUCAGGUCCAAAUAUCCCACCCGACACCAUUUACCAUUUAGAACAUCAUAAUCUGCAUUAUUUUACUUUCGAGUCCUUUUGCACAUGCACGCGAGAGGAACUGCCACCACUGCCAUCAAUCUCGCAAGAUGGAUCGCUAGUGCCCAGCCCCUACCAAGAAAAAUGUUAAAAAGCCAGCAAUCCACGCCGUGCUUUCUGUGGGCAAAAAAGCUGAUUUUCCCAGGCAAGUUGGCAUUCUUCGGUCACUUUCUUGUUGCACCAGUUUCUAGCCCUCGCAUAUAUAUACUUGCCAUCCCAUUUUCCUUUCAACAAAUCAGUCACAAUCUAAAAAAAAAAAAAAAAAGUUGUAUUUCAAUCUUGAAAGUCCAGCUUCUCAUUACAGCAAAUCAUCAGUUUUCUCAAAUGAGUCUCAUCAAGAAUCACAAACCUUGUCCAGUGAUUGAAUCCCACCACUCAACGCAUAAAUUCUUCACCAUAUGCAACUACAUUCUCUUGUGUUCAGCCUCUAGUUGCAUAUUCCUCACCCUUUCUCUCCGCCUAUUCCCUUCUCUCUGCGGCUUCUUUGUCAUUGUCCUCCACAUGUCCACCAUCAUUAUAGUUGUAUCUGGCUGUCCUAUGACGUUAUCUGGAUUCCAACAAUUGGUAUGCAGCUCACAUGAUCAGCACCUCUCUAACAGCAAUAUUUCAAGCAUCAGUUUACCGAAUCCUACUCUUCCGCUCUCGCUCCUCUUCCUACAGGUGCGAGUAGCAUGCUAUUAUAGGGAGUCCUCCCACUGCACUGGAGUGAGUUUAUUCCAAGAAAGAAGACAGAGAGUGACCUUGAAGUGUGCUUCUUGUUCGUUUUCUUCCCUUGGCUCCAUUCCAUCCUUUACAAAGUACAGGUCCCAGGUUCGCGCUUUCCUUUGAACAUGAGCUCUUAGAUAGAUAUCAGCAUAGCUUCGUAAUUAAACUUCUCACACAUCUUCUCUAAAACCGAGAGCUUGAGAUGCAUUGCUUGCGUCUUCAUUGGGUCUUACGUACUUAAAAACAAAAAAGAAAUGACCAACAUACUGUAACGGUCUAGUUACAGCGCCGAACGACCAAUAUUUUCUGAGCAAUAUUUGUAUGCCAUAACAGCUACCUUAUUCAUUACACAAACAUAUAUAAUUACAAAAACGAUAUGCCAUCCUAUAUUGCGGCAUGCAAUGAAAAAACAUCUCUGCAAACUUUAUAAAAAAACAACAAAAGAAGUUCCCAAAGCUUGGCAAAAGCAUAAGAUUUGGUAUGUAGAAAUACAAUUGGCUGCGAUUCUAUUUUUUGCAAAACUAAUCAUUAUGCACAGCUGUUAGACAAAGAAACGCACAUAACCCAGAAUGUGGUGCGACAGAGAUGCACCUGACAUGAGCGCACGACGACGGAUAAAGAGUAGAAUAUCAAACCAUAUGCGUUAGGACUUGAUGAAACGAAGACAGUCUGCAGAAUCACACAAAGCAGAAAGAAAAGAGAAAAGAGAGAAGCCCCUCUUUUGAACAACAUGGCAACGACUGCAGAAUGAGACAAAAAUGUAAAGACACUUGAUGGCCAAUGAAAAAAAAAACACUCCUUUUCAUAAUAUGACAGAGCACAGGCCAUGCAUAAUAUGCAGACAGCAAGAUGAGCAUAGUUACUUUCCACAACACAAUCUUAAAAACAACUAAGAGGAAAAUAUUCUAACCUUGAAAUCCAAGCCCUCUCCUGAAAGACAAUAUGAUAAAGGGAACAACGAACUACAAAGGAAAGCAUAACAAAUCAUGGCCACCCGAAUACUGAACAAACAAAAGUUGCAGGAAAACAUACCUUCAAAUAUUAUAAGAGACCCGAAUACUGAACAAAUAAAAGUUGCAGGAAAACAUACCUUCAAAUAUUAUAAGAGAGGCGAGAGCUGAGAGAACUGGCUCGCUAAAAAAACUAUUUCAAAAAAGCACCAUCCCAUGCAAUUAAACAAUUAGAAAGCAGACUAACCAGAAUAGAAAUGCCAACGAAAACUGAAUAGGAAACAAUGAAAACGGAGGCAAGCAUAUGUGUAUAAUGAUGCCAACGCCACAUCCAUUUAAUGCACCAUCAAAGAAGAUUAGACAACUUGACUUUAUUCUAAAUGAAGCCUGAAAGCAUUUAAUGCACCAUUAAAAAAACACUGGCUGAUUUGACAUUGUCUAAAUGAAACCUGAAGACGUGUAAGCUCAUUGCCUCUUUGCAUGGCAUUUUAAUUAUUAGAUGUCAGAUAAUUCAGUAUUCCUUGAACCCUCUAAUCCUUAUAGAAGAAAAAGAAGACCCAAUUACAGGGGGGAAAAACGACAGUCUAAUUUUUCAAAGCAUUGAAGGCACUGGUAUCAUGAUCUCGCUUUUUUCAAACUUCUCCAGUGACAAUAUAUUUUGUGGGAAACUGAGCAAGACACUCCACCACAAUGCAGAGACGAUAUAUGUCUUGGCAGGGAAAACCGUGGGGAAAGCUACAGUACUUUCCCUACACGUUUUAAAGUUCUUUAAUAUAUAUAUAUAUAUAUAUAUGAGUAAUCAAAUUAAAAAAUCUACAAAUAUUUAAUGCUAACACAAUCCUGCACAAAUCUAAACCACAUUUUUCUUCUUUGAGACGGUAGCUUUUUAGCAGAGAAAAGGAACAAAAACGGGCUUUUACAUGGAAAGUAACGCAGCCAUAUGUUAAGCUAUCCAAUCUAUAUAUAUAUAUUAAAUUAUCCAAUCAUUUAUCAUGCUAUAAUCAAGUUAAAUAUUGACAUUACAUUUCUUUGUAGGUGCACGUCUAAUCAACAGAUCUUCUCUGAUCACUUAUAAGGUUCCAUCCACUUGAUGUUAGGGGCUCCACAGUCAUUCUUUUCAUUAGUCUACUGUUAAUGUUUUUCUUCAACUUGUGGAAGUCAUGUGUUCUGAACCAGUCGAAGACAUGACAGAAGAGACAAGAAACCACCUUCUAUAAUCAAAACUUGAUCGCAGGGCUUCUUCGUCAUUCCAGUGAUUCGGCGCUACCAAUCUUUUUUUUCUUUUAUUUUUCUCUCCUCUUAAAAAUUUACUUUUGCCUAUUCAAAUUUGCAAAUCAGCCCUUUAUAUUUUUUUUUCUUUGGAUUUUGUAUUUUUUCUUUUUUUUUUUAAUUUUUUUCUAAAAUUAAAAUUUUUUGAAUUUGAUCCUCCUUCAAUGUUUUAAUCUAUAGAUUUUAUUCAUUUUUUUAUUAUUUUUUUAUUUGAGAUAAUUUUUUAAAUUAUUUUUUUUUCUUCCACCCUCCUUUAUUUUUUUUUAUUUGAUGCUUAUUUUUUUAUUGUUAUUUUUUUCUUUAGUAAAUUUUUAAAUUGAAAAUAUUUUUGUUGAUUUCAUCUAUCAACAUUAAAUUGAUUGAGAUUUAAGUUUUUUAAUUGAACUUAAAUCUACUAUUUUAUGAGUUGUGAAAUUAAAAUAGUAGUCUAUGUUUAGAAAAUUUGUCCUAGUUGGAUUAAAAUAAUAAACUUACUAUUUUAUUUUAAAAAAAAUUUCACACUCACUCUCCGCUAAUGGAUGGCGGGUUGAUGAGGUGACUAAACUUGGCCACUUGUUGAAAGGUUGGGGUGAUUUCCAUACUACUACAAGAAUAAGCACCCUACCAAAAUAAGAAAUAUUCUAGUAUUUAAGUUAGUAAAUAUCCGAGGAGAAUAAUAUAUAAGAUACAAGAGUUAGUAAAUAUACUAGGAGAAUAAUGUAUAAAAACAGGAGGUGUGGUAGAGUGUCUAGAGGGAAAAGUGUGUACAACAGGGUAGGAGGGGGGAUUGUGGAGCAGGGGAAUAACAAUAUGUAUAACAGCAGAGGUGUGUGUAGAAGAAGAGGAGAAAUAUGUGUAGGAGGAGAGGAACAAUGCUGUUUGGUGGCUUUUUGUGACCUCUUAUGCUCUGUGUGAUUCUGUCCUUAUGUGGGUGGCCAUUAUUGAGUGUAGGUGCCACACUAUACAGGGUAGGUGCUGUACUUAUUAGUGGUAUAGAGUGAAAAUUCAGCGACAACGUACCUAGGCCUGCCAUUUUAGCUUUGAUUCUCCGCCGGUAAUCGUCGUAUGCUCUACCAGGAGUUUGCCUUGAUAAACUACAGAGUUGAUCAGUAAACCAUACAAUGGUAAACCAUGCCAGAAGAAUCUAUAGAGUAGGAAAUGUAACCAGGAGUUUGCCUUGACAAAUACCAGAAAGAUAAGGAUUUCCUUCGAAACCUGGAUUGCAGAACAUUGAACUUUCUCCUUAUUAUUUGUGGACAUUACAUAUCUAUGUAAAAUCUUUGCAUUAUGAUUUUUUCUUUUAUAUUUACUACUUUUGGGAUUUUUCUACUUCCCCAAUCUUCUUCUCUAAUGGUAACUUUUAGAACUUCAUUUAUACACUAUUUAGGAUUUUCUAUAGAUUUUAAUUCGAUCAUCAAGCAUGCAUGCAUGUAGCCUGGUAGCAUGCAGCAAUACGAACAGCAAGUGCUAGCUGGAGUCCUGGUUAUUGCUAAAGGAAUCAAUAUUCAUGUAGAGCAUGAUAAUAUUUUUAGUUAUUUUCCACUUAAGUUUCCGGAGAAUUCUUUAUUUUACAAACUAUGCACAUGCCUAAAUUCCCCGUUUUACAAUUUGUUAGUGUGGCAUCUACUUGAAUGUCUUGUCUGAGAGGGGAGGCCGGCGCCUCCAUGAGUUACUAGUCUUAUAGGUUAGUUACGCAGUUGUUUAUGGUAAAGUAAUUAUUCUCAUAAUUAUUCAUACGAUUAGGAUGCGUAGUAAGUUUACAACCCUACAAAGUCUAUAAAUAUCAAAGACGUCUUGUAUGAAGAAGAGAACAUACAAAACCCCACACACUCAUUCAACCAACCAGUUGGCAACAGUUCAGUUUUCUUGUAUGCCAGGCUUUGUAAGAAAUCCUUAAUUAGGUCGUUGUGAAGAUAAAUUCCUGGUUAAUUUUACAAUUUUUUUAUUUUCUUCGGCAUUAUAUUUCGUACUCCAUCGAUUCUUCUCGAAUUUUUUACCAUUACAUGGUGUAAAGAUCAACUAUGUUACUCUAUGUGACAGAGGAUCCAGACUACAUGGAUUGCCAGGGACAUGUGAGAGAAAAAACGUUGGUCCUGUUUAUGUUGCUGCAUUUGCAUCCCAUAUCAUCUAAGAAAUGACAAUUGCUUAGGAGUAAGAAUACUUGUAUUUUUCCUGAUCAGUUCCCUUUCCCUAUCCGUUCAUAAUUGCUUGACUGUUGUAGGAAUUGGAGUGGGAAUUGGAGCAUUAUUUAUGCUCAUUGGUCUGUGGUGGUUGUACAGAGUAUUCAAGAGGAGGAGGAAUGAAAAACAGAGGAAAAAAUACUUCGCAUGGAAUGGUGGUUUAUUGCUGCAAGAACAACUGUCUUCAGGUGAAGUCCAUGUUGGGAAAAUCAAAUUGCUUACAUCCAAAGAACUAGACAAUGCCACAGAUCACUACAAUGUGAAUAGAAUGCUUGGUCAGGGAGGUUGGCUGAUGGAAAGAUCAUUGCAGUUAAAGAAAUCCAAAAUUCUUGAAGGGAAUCUCAGACAAUUUAUCAAUGAGGUGGUCAUUCUUUCACAAAUUAACCACAGAAAUGUGAUUUAGCUUUUGGGCUGAAGUUCCAUUGUUGGUCUAUGAACUCAUUCCUAAUGGGACACUUUCCCAGUUUCUCCACUACCCAAAUGAGGAGCUCCCAUUAACAUGGGAAACGCGCUUAAGGAUUGCAACAGAGGUAGCAGGGGCACUCUCCUACCUGCAUUCAGCAGCUUCGAUCCCCAUUUAUCACAGAGACAUCAAGUCUACAAACAAACUGUUGUAAGCAUUGACCAGACUCAUGUCACAACUCUGGCACCUUUGGAUACUUGGAUACAGAGUACUUACAAUCAAGCCAGUUCACCGACAAGAGUGAUGCAUAUAGCUUUGGUUUAGUCCUCGUCGAGCUACUCGCUGGACAAAAGGCAGUAUCCUUUAGCAGAUCGGAUGAUGAAGCCAGAAGUUUAGUCGCAUGAAAGACAACCAUCUGUUAGAUAUUCUUGAUCCUCAAGUCAUGAUGCAAGGGAAGAAAGGGCAUGUGUUGAUGGUUGCUACCUUGGCUAUGAGUUGCUUGGGGUUAAAGGGGAAAGAAAGGCCUCGAUGAAAGAAGUUGAUUAAAAAAAAAUCACUUAGGAAUCAAAUUUCAGAGAAGGAUUUCAACAUUUCACACGAGAUUGAAAUAUGAUAAUGGUUAUGAAGUAAUUGAUGUUCGUUGGGACCUUGCUUCUACCUCAAUAGGCUUUGGUUUUGACAAUGGUGUUGCUUCUUCAAAAGAAACAACACUACUCUUGCACACAUUUUAGAAUUUUUUUUCUUUUUUGUAAUUUUAUGUUUUGUUGUAACCAAAUAGUUGCUCCUGAUCAUAUGAAUAAUAUAAAGAAUUUUUUUUAUUUUCCAUUUUUUUAGUAUCCAUUGUUCUUGAUAGUAUCCACAACACUAUCAAGAACAACGUUCGUACGUAGAUUUAUUUGGUGAUAUAUGUAUCCUUGACUGGUUCAAGAUGACGCACUCCAUGAGCAUGCUGUGUUGGUCACAGGCAUUCAUUAUCAGUCAAGAAUGGCUCCUGGAAUAAAUAGAGUUUCGAAACUUAUUCAAAUAUUAAUUUAAACCUUGAAAAGUUAUGAUACCGCAAGUCCAGUGAUGGUAAGAAGGAAAUCAUUUGACAUUUCUAUAAUUUCUAGCAUUCACGCGUUAUGAUUGAUUAAUUUCCUUGCAAGAAAUUAACCAAAAUAUUUCUUUCUUUUCUAGAUGAAUGGACAAUGAAUACGUCAAAAAAUUAAGAAUGAAUUCAUAAUUACAUAAUUAUAUAGUUUAUCAGAACUAAUAAUUAAUGAGUCCUUUAGUAUGAAAAUAAUUACAUAAUUCUUUCACAAAUGUUUUUAAUUUGUUUCUUUUAUUUUCAAAAAUCUCUUUUCUUCCUAAUCAAAUUUUCUCAUCCUAGACAUUACACAUCUUUUCUUUCUUUUAUAUAUUAUCAGUCAGGAAUGGCUGCAAGAAUAUUUAAUAAUAAACUCAGUCCCUAUAGUUUAUGAAAAAUAACUAACGAGUCCCAUAGUAUGAAAAAUAACUAUCUAGUCCCUUGACUAGUGAUGACCUACUUCAAUUUAGUUGUUUAUGUUUUCAAAAAUACCUUCUUUCAUAAUCCAUUUUUCUCAUCUUAGCUAUAUAUGUUUUCGUUUGUUAUCCAUGUAAGAAAACUAAGUAAAAAUAGAACAAGAAAGUGAUGAAAGGACUAAGUUAUAAACGGAUUUAAGAAAAUAGGGAUCAAAUUUAUAGUUUCUAAAAAAUUAUUAGUUGAUUAGGUUAGGCUUUAGUUGAAGAAACAUCAUCUUUUGUUUGGUCAAAGUCCAACAUCUAGCAUAAUAUCUGGCUCUAAAAGUGAUGCAAGUAAAUGGGGAGAACAAAAGCAAGAAGAAAUCAGCUUUGAAUCCUUCUACUAUUAGUUGGGAAUUUCACAGGGUAGAAUGUAAAGAAUCUGAUCUAUAUAGCUUCAAGCGGCAGGAUUUUCAUUUCAGUCAGGGAGAGGAAAGCUGUAAAGAAAAAUAAUGGCUUUUCAGCUAGCGUUUCAAGUCAUUUUUUUGCUCUGCUCAUUGAAUCCAUUUCUUGCAGAAGCACAAUCUAUGACAAAAGGUGGAUGUAAAGAACGUUGUGGAAACAUCACCAUUCCAUAUCCGUUUGGAAUGGAAACUGGUUGUUACUUAGAAGAGAGGUUCAGGAUAGAUUGCAACUCUAGCAGCAUUCCUACACUUGACCUAAAUGGAACCAGCCUGGAGGUAAAAGAUAUCUCAGUUGAUACAGCCAACAAUAUUAUUCAAAUCAAUUUCCCAUUCAUCUUUCAAAAUUGCAGCAGCAAAACCAGCAGCAGGGAUUCACUGGUCGUCAAUUUGGAAGAUACCCCUUUUUCUUUCUCAACCGAAAAUCGGUUCGUUGCAGUUGGUUGCAACAACCUUGCUUUGUUGAGCAGAAAUGAGGCUACUGUCGGCGGGUGCAUGUCAAUUUGCAACGUAAGCAGUAGUGAUGCCUCUGCAAAUGGUACUAUUUGUAAUGGCAUCAACUGCUGCGAGACCACAAUCCCCUCAGGUCUCGAUUUUUUUAACGCAACCUUACAAGUUGGAGGCGACAAGGUGAAGGAUGGGUGCAAGUAUGCCUACUUAGUUGAUCAAAAUUGGUUUAAUCUGAGGUUCGACAAUAACAUUUCGGUGAUAGAUAUGGACUAUGUCCCAGUGGUGCUAAAUUGGAAAAUUGAUCUUGGAUUAUACGAAAAUAUGACGCUGAAUGGAUCGGCGUAUAGCGUAACAAAUUUAACGUCUUCCGGGACUUCCAGUUGUAGCCAGAAGGCCCAGAACUCAACUGUUCUUCUAUGUUCGUGCUCCUCAGGCUUUCAAGGCAAUCCUUAUAUUCCUGAUGGUUGUCAAGGUAAUCAUUCUCAUCAACUAAACUAAUAGUUUCUUUAAACAUGGAUUAAAGAAAUUGUUUCCUUCAUCGUAAGCAUAUUAUUAUUGAAUCUGAUUCUGCCAGUGUAAUCAGCUGGAUGCAUAAUCCUCACAACAGGCCAUGGAUGCAUAGAGACCUCUUCUCCACAGUUCAGAAAUUGUCUAGACUGUUUGGUUCAAUUACUUUUUCUCAUGUGUACCGUGAGAGCAAUAGUCUGGCGCCAAAUUGUAUGGCUAAGCAAGGAGUGCACAGAUCGAGUGAUUUCAUUGCUUGGUUUUGAUUCAUCUCUUUAGAGGUUUAGAUUCUCGUAAAAUUAAAUUGGAGACUCUUGGAAGCUUCUCCUGGAUUUUGCAGUAAUGGUUUUCUUGUGUAGAUUAUAUUGUUGCUUUCUUAGUCUAUUUCUGAUGUUUUGUCCUCUUUGUAUGGACUUUGCUUUGAUUGGUUGUUCCUGCAAAAUUGAUAUGCGGCAGGCUUUGUAAUUUUUCAUGCUGCCAGGCUAUGGCGUUUAAUAAAUCCAUAUACUUCUCAAAAAAAACAUGGAUUAAAGAAUAGGAUAAUUACAUGAUGUACUGAAUUUUGUGUUGUCUACAUAUGCAGAUAUUAAUGAAUGCCAGAGCUCUCCCAACAACAACACUACUAUUUGCUCCCGGGACCUAAUCUGUAAAAACCUAUACGGCGGCUACCAAUGUGUUGAAAUCAAGAAAUCUCGGGUUAAAAUGGUGGGUUUAGGUAUGUUGUCUUGCAACCUAGAACAUGAUACAAAUGGAUUUGUUUCUUUAUUUUUCAGCAGUUUGAGAAGAAGAGUGCAUGAAUUUCUCAAAAUGUGAAUAGUCAUGAAGGCUUAUUGAUCUGUUAAUCAUUAUGCAGGUUUUGGCGUGGGGUUUGGAGUCUUGAUCCUACUUAUUGGUUCAUGGUGGUUGUACAAAGUUAUAAAGAAAAGCAGGAAUGAAAAACGCAAGAAGAUGUUCUUUCAACGGAAUGGUGGUUUGUUGCUGCAAGAACAACUAUCUUCAGGGGAAGUCAACGUCGAGAAAAUCAAAUUGUUUGGUUCAAAGGAGUUGGACAAGGCCACUGAUCAUUACAAUGUGAAUAGAACGCUUGGCCAGGGAGGCCAAGGUACAGUUUACAAAGGGAUGUUAGCGGAUGGAAAAAUCAUUGCAGUCAAGAAAUCAAAAGUUCUUGAUGAAGAUAAUCUCAGACAAUUCAUUAAUGAAGUUGUCAUUCUUUCACAAAUUAACCACAGGAAUGUGGUCAAGCUUUUCGGUUGUUGCUUAGAGACUGAGGUUCCAUUGUUGGUCUAUGAAUUCAUUCCUAAUGGAAACCUUUACCAGUUUCUACAUGACUCGAAUGAAGAAUUCCCAUUAACUUGGGAAAUGCGAUUAAGGAUUGCAACAGAGGUUUCUGGGGCACUUUCUUACCUACAUUCAGCAGCUUCCAUCCCAAUUUUCCACAGAGAUAUCAAGUCUACAAACAUACUACUAGACGAGAAGUACAGAGCCAAAGUAGCAGAUUUUGGGACAUCAAAGUCAGUAACCAUCGACCAAAGUCGUGUCACAACUCUAGUACUAGGCACCUUGAAUAAUCGAGAGGUAUGUUAGAAGAUGCAGACGAAAUUAAUAUCUUGAAUAUAGUUUUCCUGUGUAUAUAUACUUGAUCUGUUGAGUGGAUCGAACAGCAGUGAAUGGCAGCAACAUCUACAUCAGGGCAGGAAAGAAAGGGGAAUGGCAGCUAUCCAGUUAGUACUAUUGUACUUUCAGGCAAUGUUGUUGUUGUGGUCAUUUGAUGAUCCAUCGCUUAUUGCAGAAGCACAAGCUAUGGAAAACCCUGAAAAUUGUCCAGGUGCUUGUGGCAAUGUUAGCAUUCCAUAUCCAUUUGGAAUGAGAGAAGGUUGUUACCAUGACGAAAGCUUAAAAAUACUUUGCAACUCUAGUAAAAUUCCCCUACUUUCAAUAAACGGCAUUGAUCUGGUGGUUUAUUGCUGCAAGAACAACUAUCUUCAGAUGAAGUCCAUGUUGAGAAAGUCAAAUUGUUUGCAUCCAAAGAAUUAGACAAGGCCACAGAUCACUACAGUGUGAAUAGAAUGCUCGGCCAGGGAGGUCAAGGUACUGUUUACAAAGGGAUGUUGGCUGAUGGAAAGAUCAUCGCAGUUAAGAAAUCCAAAUUUCUCGAUGAAGGGAAUCUCAGACAAUUUAUCAAAGAGGUGGUCAUUCUGUCACAAAUUAACCAUAGAUUUUUUUUACCUCAUUCAUUUCAAAAUUAUUGAAAGUAAAAUUUCAAAUUCUUAAGAAAUUAAUUCUUUAUUGGAUUAUAUUUUCUCUGAAAUUGUAUUAUAACAAGUUUUUACUUCUAUUUAUUGAUGCAAAUAUUAUAAAUCAUAGAAAAAAUAUCCUUGAAUUAAAAAAAAAAAAAAGCUGUAUUUUCUCGAAUGUUUGUCUAGAAGUAUUAUUAUUUAAAGACUUUGUGUUUUACGAUUAGUUUUUAUUUUCUUAAUGAGAUAUUUUUCUUAUUUCUUAUUUUAUUUUGUGUUUUGUGGAUUUUGUUAUUUUAUUUUAAUAUUUUAUAUAUUUUUUAUUAUUCAAAACAAACUAUAACAUAAUGAGAAUAAGGUAAGAGAAAUGUAAGGAAAUGAAGAAGAAGAAAAAGUGGCAGUAUUACCUUUAAUAUCCAAACUAACUAUAAAUGAAGACAACCCACCGCCACCAUGAGACGUGUUUUAAAUUAAAAUCCAUAAAAUCAUGCAUAAUAUUCCUGUUCAAGAAUAUACAAAAAAGCUCAUAUAUAUAUAUAUAAACAUUGGAUAUUUCUAUUUACAUAUGGCGUUUAUGAUGAAUAUAAAUUAAUUAAUGCCAACACUUAAUUAAAUAUAUUCAUCGUUUCCUAGAAAAAAAGAAGUAAAUACUGUCAACCUUGUAGUUUAAAUUAAAUCAGCAAAGAUCAUCUUUUCAGCUAAUCUUCAAAGAUUGUGUUUGUUUAAUUUUUUUAAUCAUUAUCUACUUAUAAUUAAUAUUAAAUUUAAAAAAUGCUUGAACAUAUUAUUAAGUUGCUUAUAAUAAUGAUGAUUUAAAAAAAAAAGAUAUUAUAUUUAAUUAAAAAAAGGACUUGAUAAGAAGAUAAUAAUAAGAUGUAAAUGAUACAUCAUCAAAUUAUUAUAUAUACCAAAAUAAACCUUUGACAACUUAAGAGUAAUAAUAAAGCAUUGAUCGAUACAAAAACAUCUUGGGCAGCAUGUAGUCCCUUUUGGUGGCGAAUAUACAAUUGAUUUCUGCACCAACUUCUGGAGAACCACAGUGUUCUUCUGUGGCAUGUCAUGGUCAAGUGAAUUCCAUUGGUUUGAUAUCUACGAUGCUUCCAGGGAUCCUUAUUGUGGCGACUGCAAUUGGACAAUACAAGCAACUGGGCCAUGCGUGGAUUAUUAUAAAUAUAUUUGGAAGGAAUUUGUGUGUUAUCCUUGGAAAUUGGAACAAGAAGGCAUAUCUUCAUUAAAGUGCGAGCUAGCUCUCCAUGUAUCUCAUCUCCUCUGUAUAAUUUGCUAGCUGCAUAAAAUGGAGGCAACAAAAAAAUAAGUGUACCAUGUAUUAAUAAUGAAUUUCUCCACCCAUUAGAGUGUUUUCUUUUCAUUAUUUAGAUAAUGUUUUAAGAAAUAACAUUAUUUUGGUUCUGAUCAUCAGGAUUUACCGUUGCUUAUAAAAUUCAGAGACGUAUAUUUAAUGUCGGUUGUUACAUAAUAUAAUAUUUUAAGUUAUUUUGGGUACGUCUUGUUAAACUUAUUGAGAUCAAACACAAAAAGGAGGCUAGAAUUCUAAAUAAUCUGUAUAUUAUGAAUGCAUAGUCUUAACAUAAAUACAAAUAAAGUAUAUAUAGGUUAAACUGAAAGUACUAUUCUACCCUUAAUAAAUAAGACUACAUAAAUAUUAUUUAACAUCUCCCCUCAAACUCACGAUGCGGCAGCUGUAAGCAUCGAGAGUUUGCCAACCAGAAAACAAAAACGAGAGAUGGAAUGCGCCUUGGUAAAGAAAUCUGCAAUCUGCAAGGAAGAAGGAACAAAAGGCAAAGUAAUGGUGCCAUGCUUGAGAUGAUGACGAGUAAGAUGACAAUCGAUCUCAAUGUGCUUAGUUCGCUCAUGAAAAACCGAGUUGUGAGCAAUCUGAAUAGAACUCUAGUUGUCACAAUACAUAGGAGUAGGAUGAGAAAAGGAAACUCCCAUAUCAGCAAGUAACCAACGUAACCAAACAAUCUCUUUGGUAGUAGAUGUCAUGGCACGAUAUUCUGCUUCGGUGGAUGAUUGAGAAACAAUAGAUUGUUUCUUGCUCUUCCAAGAAAUAAGAGAAUCACCUAAAAAGAUACAAAACCCGGUAACAGACUUGCGAUCUGUGGGAUCACUACCAUGAUCAGCAUCAGAGUAUGCACGCAACUCCAAGGAAGAGGUGGAUGAAAGUAAAAGACUCUGAAAAACUGUACCCCGAAGAUAUCGCAAAAUAUGAAGAACAGCUGCCCAGUGAACAGUAGUAGGAGAAGCAACAAACUAACAACAUGAACAACAUAUGCAAUAUCUGGACGAGUAAUGGUGAGAUAUACCAAACUCCCAACAAUAGUGCGGUAUAAAGUAGGAUCUAUCAAAGGUAAACCAUCAGAAGAAGAGUACCUUGCAUUAACCUCAAUAGGAGUAUCUACAGUCUUGUUAUCAGUAAGUCUAGCCCGCUCAAGAAUAUCUGCAACAUAUUUCGACUGAGAAAGAAGGUAACCUCUAGGUGAGUAUGCUACCUCAAUACCCAGGAAAUAUCGAAGAUAACCCAAAUCCUUCAUUUCAAAUCGUCUAGCCAACUCUGUCUUCAAAACUGAAAUACCAUCAAUCAUCACCAGUAAUAAUCAUGUCAUCAACAUAUAAAGACAGAAUGAUACGACCUGCAUCAGUGCACUUAAUAAAAAGAGCAGAAUCAUGACUGCUAGAAACAAAGCCAAAGACGAGAUCACAAUAGAGAAUUUCUCAAACCAAGCACGGUGCUUGUUUGAGACCAUAUAAUGCUUUCUUAAGCUUACAAACAUAUCCAGAGUCAUGUGAAAUACCAGGAGGGGGUGCCAUAUAAACUUCUUCUUGAAGAUCUCCAUUCAAGAAGGCAUUUUUAACAUCAAGCUGAGAAAUAUGCCAUUACGAAUCGAAGCUACACAAUAAGAGUACGAAUAGUAGUCAUUUUUGCAACCGGGCAAAUGUCUCCUCAUAGUCCAUACCAUACUGUUGAGAGUAUCCUUUUGCAACCAGCCUAGCUUUGUAUCGCUCAAUAGACCCAUCAGAAUUAGUCUUGAUCUUAUACACCCAACAACCAACAACACUCUUACCAGGAGGUAGAGGAACCAGAUCCCAAGUAUUUGUCUUAUGCAAAGUAGAAAGUUCCUCAUCCAUAGCUUGCUGCCAAAGCGGAUCAAGAAUUGCCUCUUUAUAGGAAGAGGGCUCAAAGAGACAAUGAAUAGAAGCUAAAAAGGAAGUAAAUGAUGAAGAAUAACAAGAAUAAGCAAAAUCUGGUAGUUUUGUAGACUUACGAAUACGGAUGGACUGACGUGGAGGUGGAUCCACAAUCUCAGAUGAAGCUUGAGGGGCUGUAGAUGAGAAUGGAGCUUCAGGUGUGCCAGAGAGUAAAGUACCAGUACCUGCAGAGUUAUGAGUACAAAUUGAUCGAACAUGGGGAGAGAUAUCAUUAUCAGAAUCCUCAGAAAACGGAUCUAUACUAAUGACAUCAGAUUUGGUCAGGUUAUGAGUAGUGGAUGGAAUAGAAAAGAAAGGUAUAUGCUCAAGGAAGACAACAUGACGAGACACAUAAAGUUUCUGAGUUAUUGGAUCAAAACAACGAUAACCCUUUUUACCUUCACCAUAGCCUAGAAAAACACAAAUAGCGGAUCGAGAGGAUAACUUACUUCGUUCUACAUGAGGACGAAGAACGAAACAAGUACAACCAAAGACUCUAAAUGAGGAAUAAUCAGGAACAUACCCAUAUAACUUUUCAAAAGGAGAUAGACCCGAACUAUGAGAAGAUGGAAUUGUAUUAAUUAAACUUACAGUAGUAAGAACAGCUUCUCCCCAAAACUCACUAGGAACAAAGGCAGACAACAAGAGAGAACGAGCAGUUUCAACAAUGUGCCUAUGUUUUCUUUCAGCAACACCAUUUUGCUCAGGAGUAUCUGUACAAGAAGUUUGGUGGAUGGUUCCAUCUAGGGCAAGCAAUUGGCAAAAUUUAUUAGAGGUGUAUUCCCCACCCAAAUCACACCUAAAACAUUUAAUCACAGCAGAAUGUUGAGUUUUGAUAAGAGCUCGAAAAGCUGCAUAUAUCUCAAAAAUUCAGAACGAUGUUUCAUUAAAUAAACCCAACAAUAACGAGUAUGAUCAUCAAUAAAAGAGACAUAAUAUCGAGACCCUCCUUUUGUGGCAACAGGAGAAGGUCCCCAUACAUCAGAAUGAAUCAAAUCAAAUGGUGAAGAAGAAACAGAAAUACUUCGAUUAAAAGGUAAGGCGGAAAAUUUUGCCAAUUUACAUCCACUACAAUCAGAAAUGUCACAAGUUUUCAAAUUUCCUAAAGCUCCUGUGGAUGCCAAAAAUCUCAAACGAGAAGAUGAAACAUGACCUAGACGGGAAUGCCAUAAAUAAAAACUAGAAGAUGAAAGACUCAAACGAAAGGAAGACAAAUCAACGGUAGUAGCAGCAGUGGCAGCAGCAGCAACUGGCACUUUUAACUCAUCCAAAAUAUAUAGUCCAUUCUCUCUACGGCCUGUCCCAAUCAGCUUCUGAGACUGCAGAUCCUGUAUACAACAAAAUGAACCAGAAAACAUGACUAAAUAAUCACCAGAAUCACAUAUUUGACCAACAGACGCAAGAUUCAAAGACCCAUGACAGGAAUCUGGAGACAUAUGAUGAGAAGCACCAGAAUCCAAGACCCAUUCAGAAUGUGACAUACCUGAGGAACUAUGAUGCAACUGACCUAUGGAAGAAGAAGCGGACAUUGCUUGUGGCUGCAAGGAGAGAAACUUCUGAAAUUGCUCAGCCAAAAUAUUAGGAUCGGUAAUAGAGCUUGAGGAAGCUACUGCUGCAGUAUUGUGGUGUGGUGGUUUAUAACCCUAAGGUUGUCUAUGAGCAUUAGAUUAUGACUGAUUGCCAAACUUCCAAGCUUGAUUCUGCUGUCUCAACUUAGGACACUGAGCCUUCCAAUGACCUUUCUGCUUAUAGAAACUGCACUCAUCGAAGCCAACCUUUGUGUAAGGCUUAUUUUGAUGAUUAGAGAAUGGCUUAGAAGGCACUGCUAAUACUGAAGGAUUCAAAGCAUAAAAAAUUCCCUUUUCAGAAUAAGACUGAAAAUGUAUUUCUUCAGCCAAUAACUCACUAACAACAGAGUCAACAGAAGGCAAUGGAGAACGAUGCAGAAUUGAACCCCUAAGUCCUUCGAAAUCACUGCGAAGUACUGUUAAAAACUGUACCAAUCGUUGUUGCUCUCUACGCUCAAUAUAGGCACCACAUGCCUUUAAUUCUGCCGAUUCUGUAAGAGCCAAUUGAUCCCAAAGAUCUGUCAUAGCAGAAUAAAACUCUUGGAUACUCAUAUUCUUCUGAUGAAGAGCUCGUAUGUCAUUCUCUAAUUGAUACUGUUUUGCAAAUUUUGAUUGUGUGAAUAACCUUUGCAGAUGAUCCCAAACCUCUUUUGCUGUCUCAUACUUUGCCAACUGCAUACCUAUCGAAUGCUCAACAGAAUUGUUGAUCCAAGUAAUGAUCUUUGCAUUAUUUGCUUCCCAUGUAUCUAUCAAAACAACAUCUCCCUCCUCAACAUUCUUAGGUAUCAUAUAAGUCCCACUAACAUACCCCCACAUCUUCUUAUCCUUAAGAAAAUUUCUCAUCACAUAACUCCAAUACGAAUAAUUCUUCCUAUCCAACCUCACACUCACAGACUGAAGUGAAUCAUCUCUUUCAGUAGCCAUAAUCAGCAAUCACAAAUAACCAGAAUGCAAAAGCAGCAGAAACAAAAUACAAAAUUGCAGAAACUAAACAAAUCUCUUCUCGAAAUUAUACGAUUACUCCAAAACACAAAACAAAUUUGCAAAAAUUGAACGCAAAUACCAAAUUGCAGAUGCUGAAGGGAAGACGAAAUACCAAAAUAAUUGCAGAAACUGUCGAAAUACCAAAAUAAUUGCAGAGACUGUCGAAAUACCUAAUUUUGCAGAAGCGGAAGACAAAAUAUCACUCCAAAAAAAAAUUGCUAGAAUCAGCUCGUUUUGUCGAAAUACCAAAAAAAUUGCUAAAAUUGCAGAGACUGUCGAAAGUUGGAUCCGCGAAGCUGUAUUUGGGAUUAAGCUUCGUUUCAUAAAAUCAGCUCUGAUACCAUGUUAAACUUAUUGAGAUCAAACAUAAAAAGGAGGCUAGAAUUCUGAAUAAUCUGUAUAUUAUGAAUGCAUAGUCUUAACCUAAAUACAAAUAAAGUAUAUAUAGGUUAAACUGAAAGUACUAUUCUACCCUUAAUAAAUAAGACUACAUAAAUAUUAUUUAACACGUCUCACUUAGAUUUUUAGAUUUAGUUUUAACACAAAUAUCAAUGUUAUCAAACUGAUUUGAUUUGGUAAUUCAAUGUUAUAAAACCUGAUUUGAUUUGGUGAUUCAUUCAUUCAAAACUUGAUUUAAUUUGAAUUAGAUAGAAAUUAACCUAGUCAUUUCUUUUAUCAUAUCUUAUCGCCUUGAUAAAAAACUAAAUUUUAUUUAAUUUUAAAAGAAUAAUAUAAAAUGAUGUUAUUUAAAAAAAAAUUAAAAUGAUAUUAUUUUAGAUUGGUUUAGGUUUAGUCAAGCUAACUCUUCCAACUCAUAACCCAGUCCUUAAACUAAACCAACUUUUAUAACUAAGUAUUUUUAAGAAAUUAGCCCAAUUCUCUUUUGAUUAAAUAUGUGAAGGUGGUGAUACUCCCAUUUCACUGUUCUUUCUGUUCUCUAUAGUAUUAUGCCAUGAGUGCACCAGAGAUUUUAUGAAGAUGAUAAGAUGUAAGUGAUACAUAAUUAAUCAAUCAAAUUAUUACACCACAAUAAACUUUUGACAAGUUAAGAGUCAUAAGAAUUCGACAAGUAGUUAGAGUAAGAAGAAUAAAAUGAGAAAACUAAAAUAGAUUAGAUUAGUGAAUAAUUUAUAAAGCAUUGAUUAAUACAAAAUAUCGUGUUUCAAUAAAGAGAAAGCUUGAUGAUAACUUGUAGAAUUCACAAACACGUACGAUCCUGCCAAAACAUUUUAUUUUUUAUUUUUGGAAAGAUGAUUUUGAUAUAUAAUUUGCUAUAAAAUUAGCAUAUCGCUCAAUAUUAUCCUGCCAAAACAGCUAGCCAGAUGCAUGAACCAAUUUAGUAGUAAUUAUCACUAAUUCAUUGUAGCGAGCCAAGUGCAGUUUUGGCUAAAUAUACAAGGAAGAAACCCUUGAAACGGCACAACCAUUCGCUAUAUAACACGAAGAGCCACCAUAUACUAAAGCCUAUAUAUAAGUAAGUUGGAUUUGCAUGAAUACUAAAAAACAAUCCAAACUAAACAGAUCAAAUUAAAUCUUCUUGCAGACAUGAUUUCUUUCACCAGCCAUUUCGCCCUACUGAUAUUAUUAUCUCUGUUGCUGCUGAUCAUAGCUACGUGUGAUGCUGCAGGUUGUCUAUGGAAACCAACACGUUUGAAUAUCAAUAAUGACUUAGGCCCGGGCUUGGACCUUACAAUCCAUUGCAAAUCCAAAAACAACGAUCUUGGGCAGCAUGUAGUGUUACUUUUAAGGCUUUAGGGUUGGAUGUAUCCUCUGCUUCUUAUUUUUCUUCUCCUGUGGAGGGAUGCCUUAUAUAGGCAAAUAUAUAUGUCGGUUACAUCUUUCCUAUUCUGAAAGGAAUACUGCAAUGUAUAUCCUUUCAGGACUCCUAUAGAGUAUGUCUUUUAUAUAUAGAAAACUACCAUCUAAUUCAGCUAAUUACAUGUUAACACUUCCCCUCAAGUUGGUGCGAAGAUAUCUUCUAAGCCUAACUUGUCUAGAGACUUAUGAAGAGCUUCUGCAGGGACUGCAUGGGUUAGAAUAUCUGCUAGUUGCUCACUUGAUCUGACGAAAGGGAUGUCCACUAACUUUAGAAGUAACUUUUCCUUGAUGAAGUGUCGAUCUACCUCAAUGUGUUUAGUUCGAUCAUGUUGUACUGGAUUAUUAGCUAUCUCUCGUGCUGCUGAUUGUCACAGUAUAGUAACAUAGGGUCUUUGGGUUCAAAACCAAUUUCUGUGAGUAAGGUCCUGAGCCAUAACAGUUCGCAUAUUCCAUGUACCAUCCCUCUAUAUUCUGCUUCUGCUGAGGACCUUGCUGUCACAUUUGUUUUUUACUUCGCCAUGUGACAAGAUUUCCUGCAACAAAUGUAAAAUAGCCAGAGGUGGAUCUCCGGUCAGUGAGAUUUCCUGCCCAAUCUGCAUCAGUAAAUCCUUUCACUUCCAUAGUUCCAUGUCUUUUAAAUGUCAAUCCUCCUGGAGCCCCUUUUAGAUAACUCAGAAUUCUCAUUACAGCUGUCAUAUGAUCUUCACUUGGAGCAUGCAUAAACUGACUUACCACACUAACCGCAUAGGCAAUGUCUGGGCGAGUGUGAGAUAAAUAAAUUAACCGCCCUACCAAUCGCUGGUAUCUUUCUUUGUUUGUUGGUACCUGAUCUGGGUGAAUGGCCAAUCGAUGAUUUUGAACAAUAGGAGACUCUACUGGUUUGCAUUCUAGCAUGCCCGUUUCAGAUAAUAGGUCCAGUAUAUACUUUCGUUGUGACAAGUAUAUACCAUCUUUAGUUCUUGCAACUUCAAUUCCCAAAAAUAUUUCAGUCCUCCUAAUCUUUCAUUUCGAAUUCGGUAGACAAACAUUCUUGUAGCUUUUUUAUUUCAUCUGUGUCAUCACCAGUUACGAUCAUAUCGUCUACAUAAAUAAUGAGCAGUGUAACUUUACCAUUCUUCUGUUUGAUGAAUAGAGUGUGAUCAGAGUUACCUUGGUGAUAACCAAUUCGUUUCAUAGCUUCUGUGAAUCUCCCAAACCAUGCUCUUGGCGAUUGCUUCAAGCCAUACAAUGCUUUUCGUAAUCUACACACUUUUCCACUAGAUUGUGAGCUGUUAAACCCAGGUGGAAGUUGCAUAUAGACUUCUUCUUCCAGAUCCCCAUGGAGAAAUGCAUUUUUCACAUCAAAUUGCUUCAAAGGCCAACUGAAAUUUGCUGCUAAAGACAACAAGACUCUGAUGGUGUUCAUUUUUGCAACUGGAGCAAAAGUUUCUUGAUAGUCAAUGUCGAAUGAUUGUGUGUACCCCUUUGCUACUAGCCUUGCCUUGAACCGAUCAAUUGUGCCGUCUGCUCUAUGUUUAAGGUUGAAUAUCCACUUGCAGCCCACUGGUUUUUUUCCUGGAGGGAGUGAUACAAUACUCCAUGUGUCAUUUCUUUGUAAUGCACUAUUUCAGCCUCCAUUGCUUCUGCCCAUUUCGGGUGUUGUAAGGCAUCCUCAACCUUUGUAGGUAUUCUUAUAUUCGCCAUCUCACUUAUGAAGGCUUGAUGCUGUGGAGGUAGUUUGUGUGUAGAGACAUACUGUGUGAUUGCAUAUUUUGCUUUUCCAUUCGGUGAGUACCUGUCAGGGGCCUUUCCACGGUUCUGUCUAGGAGGGAGAGAGUAGCAUGGGGCAGAUAAUAAAGGGAAAGAGGAAGGGCUUUCAGUGUCACUUACCUCAUGGAUAUCCGAUCGAUCUUGAACAUGGAUUUGUGGAGAGGAAGGGGUUAUUUCAUCAUGCAUGUAUUCUUCUUCUGCAUCACUGCUGCUAUGUGUAUUGUACUCUAUGUGUUCUUUCCCUGCAUUGCCCGUUGCAGUUGUUCUGGAGCUGGGCUCUGUAUUUCCUUCCCCAACAUUACUAAUUGUGUGUGUACUGGUUUCCAUUUCUUCCCCUGAAGUUGACUGUUGCUGCUCCGUAUUUCCUUCCCCUGAAUAUGUGUUUCCUUCCCCUGAAUCCAACUGAAGAUCAAUCCAGUUGUAGGCAUCAUAUUGCAGCUCCCCCUGAGGACUAGAGCUGGAUGGAUUCAUAUGGAAAAAAUAUUCUGUUUCAGAGAAGGUAACAUCCAUACUGACAUGCAUCUGGCGAGAAGAAGGAUGGUAGCACCGGUAUCCCUUUUGGUGAGGAUUGAAACCAAGAAAGACACACCGUACUGCGCAUGGUUCCAGUUUUGUGCGCUGAGUUUUCUGCAGGUGAACAUAGGCUACACAUCCAAACACACGGGGUUCUAAGUGUAGGAGGGAUGGAAUCUGAAUGUGUUGAGUGAGAGUCUGCAAGGGAGUGCUGAAGGAGAGGACUUGGGAUGGCAUCCGGUUGAUGAGAUACACAGCAUAGGUUACUGCAUCAACCCAAUAAUGUUGAGGGACAUGGGCACCAAUGAGAAGAGCUCUAGUAGUUUCAAGAAUAUGCCUGUUUUUGCGUUCUGCCACACCAUUUUGUUGUGGAGUGCGCGGGCAAGUAGUCUCAUGGAGAAUACCAUUGUUUUGAAAGAAACUCAAGAGUUCAGAGUUAAGAUAUUCUCCACCAUUGUCUGAUCGAAUAAUCUUCACCGGCAGGGAGAACUGAGUGCACACCAUGCGAUAAAAAAUUGGGAAUAUAUUACGCACAUCACUCUUGUGUCGCAUAGUAUAUAACCAAGUCAUUCUGGUGCAAUCAUCGACAAAUGUAAGAAACCAUCGAAUUCCAGAUUGGGAAGUAAUUGGAGCAGGUCCCCAAACAUCAGAGUGGAUCAAUUCAAAAGGCUUUGUUCUUUUAUUCAAGUUUACAGGAUAUGAAGUUCGAUGGCUCUUGGCCAAGAUGCAAACAUUACACUUAAGAGAGGAACUUGGAUCCGGAAUGUCAUCAAAGAGGGAAGGAAAUAAUUUUUUUAAGUAGCCAAAGGAUGCAUGACCCAGCCGACGAUGCCAUAACCAAAUUUUCUUGUGAUUAUUACCAUUGUGACUCUGAACUUGAUGGACGUGACCUGAAGCUACGUCAUCUACAUAGUAUAACCCUUUCCUCUUAGUACCACGUCCAAUGAUCGCUUGAGUCCGGAUAUCCUGAAGUAAGCAAAACGUGGGAAACAUUAAUACCACACAAUCCAAUUCUUCUGUAAUUUGACUAACAGACAGUAAAUGAUUUGAAAGUGCAGGGACAAGUAAACAAUUAUGUAGUGAAAGAUCAGGAGUGAGAACAAUUGAUCCUGCUCCAAUGACUGGGGUAGACUCCCCAUUGGCUGUCAUGACCUUUUCCUUAGACGGGGGAGUCAUGUAUUGAAAUAAUGAUUUGUUAUACGUCAUAUGAUCUGUGGCACCCGAGUCAAUGAUCCAACCUGUAUCAUGAACCGUGGAUGUCGACAAAACCACUCCAGUUUUACCUGUCGCUGAAGUCUGGUCAGUUUUCGUUAAGGAGAGCAAUUCAUCCGGUUUAGUGUGGUCUUUUUUUCUUAUUGCCAUGGCAGCAAAACUGGAAGGAAUUUCUGUUGCAGUGGUUAAUUUUGCUUGGACUGGACGUUUAUUACUUCUUGCUUUACUUUGCUUCUGUUUUUCUAGAAACCAGUCAGGGUAGCCAUGAAUCUCAAAACAAGUGUCUCUGGUAUGGCGACUUCCAUUACAAUGGCUGCAGCGCAACUUGUCUUUUUCUGCUUCCUCAAUAGCUCGAAGAGUGCGCAUGUUAGAAGGGGUGGUGGAUUUGGAAAUCAUUGCAAUUGAUGAACCUUCACCAGUGUUUUUUGCUCCCAGCAUGGUGACUUGUCGCUGAGCCUCCCUUCGAAUUGUAUUGAAGCACUCUUCAAUACUUGGAACAGAUUUUUUUCGAAGGAGAUCACUGCGUAUUGAAUCAAAAACUUCAUCCAAACCUGCAAGAAAGUCAUAGAUCCGGUCCUUUUGAAUUUCUUCUUGUCUGGUUCUAAGAUCUGCAGCACAUAUCAUCUUAAUUGGUCGUCGCUUGUCAAUUUCCUGCCAUACACUAUUCAGCUCUGCGUAAUACAAGUUAACUGGACGCCCAUUCUGUUUCGUCCUCGUGGCUUUGCAGCGUAGCUCAUAGAAUUGUGACUCAUCAGCCCCAUCAUAAAAGGUUUGAGUGACACUAUCCCAGAUUUCCUUGGCUGAUGACAGGUCUAUAAAUAAACCAAUAAGAUGAGGCUCCAUGGUUUUCAACAACCAUCCUCGUACCACUGCAUCUUCAGUGCACCACUUUGAGUAACCAGAAUUUCCUUCUUCCACUCUAGCAUUCUGCCCAGUUAAGUAGCCAAGUUUGUUCAAUCCAGCAGCAUGCAGUUCAAGCAUACGUGACCAGAUUUUGAAGUUUGUCUCAUUCAAUUUAAAUCCAAAGGGUAAGGUGUUUGGGUUAGGUGUUUCAGCAGAGAAUGAAGUUUGGUUUAUAGGGAUAAUAGAAGUAUUUGUGUCAUCCAUGGUUGGUCUCUUGUUUCAAGACCAAUUCCCAGGAGAAGAUUAAUGUGGCGGCUGAAAAGUUAAAGGAAGAUUUUAGCUUUCAACCUUGCUCUGAUACCAUGUUACUUUUAAGGCUUUAGGGUUGGAUGUAUCCUCUGCUUCUUAUUUUUCUUCUCCUGUGGAGGGAUGCCUUAUAUAGGCAAAUAUAUAUGUCGGUUACAUCUUUCCUAUUCUGAAAGGAAUACUGCAAUGUAUAUCCUUUCAGGACUCCUAUAGAGUAUGUCUUUUAUAUAUAGAAAACUACCAUCUAAUUCAGCUAAUUACAUGUUAACAUGUAGUCCCUUUUGGUGGCGAAUAUACAAUUGAUUUUUGCUCCAACUUUUGGAGAAGCACACUGUUCUUCUGUGGCGUGUCAUGGUCAGGAAAAUCCCAUUGGUUUGAUGUCUACGAUGCUUCCAGGGAUUCUAGUCGCUGUGGAAAUUGCAAGUGGACAAUACAUGCAACUGGGCCAUGCAUGGAUUAUUAUAAUUAUUAUACAAAGGAAUUUGUAUGUUAUCCUUGGAAUGACAAGGCAUAUCUUCAGUAAAGCGCUAGUUACAUAGCUCUAUAUAUCUCCUGUGUUCAAUUUACUAGCUGCAUAAAGCGGAGACCACAAAAAAAAUAAGUUUACUAUGUAUUAUUGAGUUUCUCCACUCAUUAGGAGUGUUUUCCUUUCAUGAUUUGCAUAUAAUUCUUUCCAAGGAAUAACACUAUUUUGGUUGUGAUAAUCAUGAUUUGCCGUUGAUUACAAAGUUUAGAUGAGACGUACAUUUGUUGUAGUUGUGCGAUAGAAUAUCAUUAGUCAAUAUAUCCGUGUUACGAUAUGCAAUGUUUAUUUGGCAAGUGGACGAUGGAUUAAUUAUGUUAAAGGAAAACCACUUAUUAGUUGUUAAUUAUUUAUAUAAGUUCUCGAUUAAGUCCCCAAACUAUCAGUUUUAUUAUUUGAUGAUCCCUAUAAUCUAUAUACUUUCGACCUAUUAAUUAGUUGUUAAUUAUAAUCGUUAACAUGAUUGACUCGAUUAGGUUUUUAAUAACCCAGUUAAAUCAAUCGAUGCAAACUUUAUCAAAUUAAUAUCAAGAAUUGUUUUUUAAAUAAAAAAAUUAAAUAUCAUUUUAAUAAAUAAAAAAUAGUUAACUCAGUGAUUUAGUACCUCUACCCUUUUCUAUAACAAUACCCCAAAUCAAGUCUGAUGAUUAUGGCUAUCACUGUGCAAAAACUAAAGUUAAAGUAUGAAAUUGCUUAAAUAUAUAUUCAUGCCUAAUAUUGUCGGCGAGACAAAUUUUCUGAUGAAGGACAUUUUUUUUCAGAUUUUCCUUAAAUAUUGGGUGAGCAACUGGCUCUAUUACAGUAUUUCUAUCCAUACAAUUUAGGAAAAGAUAACAAUAUUUCUAAAUAGACUAAUAUUAAUUUGUUGUUGUUCAUAUUCAUGACAACUACGAUGAUGCUAGCUAGAAAGCAGAAAAGAAAAGAAAAGAAAUUAAGAGAUUUAUUAAGAAUACAGAGUACCAUCCAAUUGUUUUCAAAUUCGUGGAACCAAGAUUUCAUUUGUAAGAAAUACAAUAUAUACAAGUAUAGUUAAGAUAUAAUUAAUAGUUAAUGACAGACAAAUUACAAGGAAAAGGACAGCUGUUAGGCCUGUGUAUCUAGUAUGGAAUUUAAUCACACAAAUACAUAGAUUUAAUCAUCCUUAAUUUCUUGAUUGUGGAAGGUCUCUCUAAUCCAAAAGGUGCAAGGCCCCUAAUCCAAAACGUGUUCACGUAAUAAAAUACUUAAAUUAAUUGCCAUGUAUAUCGUCCUGAAUUAAUCGUCCUAGCUUGUAGGCAACAACAAAGCAUGCAUGCAUGUAUGGCAAGAAGCAAUAAAUAGAAAUUAAUUAAAACAUCAGAAUUGAAUGUCACUACGUAUUCGAUGUUGCUAACACGGAUCAUCAGAUCCCAGAUCACAGCUGGAAAAUACAGGGGGGAAAGGGUCUUACAUCUUCACCAUGCAUGUAGGCAGCCUAUAAAUAAAAAAAAUCAAAAUCAAGAUAUUAUACAAAAGAAAAACUCUUAAUAUCAUACAAGCAUGAAUCCCUUUAUCACAAGGCAUUUCGUUCUGCUAAUAUCAUCUUUGUUACUGGUCUUUACUGCUUGUGAUGCAUUUUGUUUUCUUCGAACAAGUGUAAAUUUGAAGAUCACAAACCAGUUGGGUUCAGGCCUGGACCUCGCCAUCCACUGCAAAUCGAAAGAUGAAGACCUUGGCGUGCACGUAGUCCCUUUUGAUGGCUAUUACACACUGAGUUUUUGUUCCAAUGCUUGGGGAACUACACAAUACUUCUGCGGCAUGACAUGGUCUGGUAAACUCCAUUGGUUUGACUUCUUCAUCGCUAGAAGGGACUCUUUUCGCUGCGGUAACUGCACUUGGAGAAUACUUCCAAGAGGCCCUUGUAUGACUUACAAUAUUGGCGAGUUAAGAGAGUACAAAUGUUACCAUUGGAAUGGCGAUCAGGUACUUUAGAAAUCUCGUAGCAUAAAAUAGAGUUAAAUCUAUGUACUCUCCUAUACUCCCAUGUAUUUGACUCAGUGAAUAAAUUUAUUUUUCUUGUUUUUGCCUUCUAAUUAGCAGUUUUAUUUGCCAUUGUAAGAAUCUACUCUAGGCCAUGACUAAUUAAGUUCCUAAAAGUACAAAUUAUGAGCUGUUGAUCUGAUGAGAUUAUGCAAUUUAUCAAAUGGUGAUUAAAACCGAAAUCAGAGAUUAUGCAAUUUAUCAAAUGAAUAAGAUCAACAUUAAAAGUAGUUAAAUCAAACUAAUUAAACGUUUAGUACGUACCUCAAAAACAUGGCCUCCAAAAUUAAUUAAUACAUAAGCAAGCAAUCGAGUAAUGAUAAUAUUAUUAUGGAAUUCAUUUAUUGAAAAAACAUCAAUCACGUAAUGUAUUUUUGACUUUCCAACUUUGAAAUACAAGGAGCCUGAGAGGAAAAGGUGUUACCAUCAAUUUGGAAAUAUUACACGCACUUCCAAAUCAAUAAUUUUAGGGUUUUUUUUUUAAAUAUUGAAGCAAUAUUUGAUUAUUUUCUUGAAAUAAAAAAAUAUAAAUAAUUAGAACAGAAAAACAUGUUUUUUUCUCUUUUAUGUUUUGAAAAGAUAGAAAAUCGUUUAAACUAAUUCAUAGACAGAUUUAGUUUCAUAGCAAUGUGGUAGUGAAUAAAAAAAAUCAAUAGUUUCAGGGGUGAUGAAAUUUGGAAAGGAGGUUAAGUCAUCAUGAUUAAUUUUCUUCGUCUUCUCUGUUCAAUGAAAUAGAAAUAAAUAACAAUGAAUACUUGGAGCUCUUGAGUUUGAACUAUAAUGAGUUAUUUCUUCUUAAAAUAAGAAAUAAAAAUAUAUAUAAUGGAUUAUUUAUUCUUAAAAUAAUGUUUGAAAAAAAUACUCGCCAAUGAAAAUACUGUCGGUAGAUAAUAGACUUUGGGCUUAUAAUAUAGUUAUGAAUCUAUUACUUAAUUUAUGGAUUUCAUUUAAUAAGGAAAUAAAUAAGUUUAUAUAUACACAACACGUCAUCUAUGACUUUAUUGGCUUUGGAGGUGUCCAGUCCACCAUUACUGUUUUCUGCGUGCCCACUUGAUUCUGCACAAGCUUUCUCACUCUUGAUCUUCCCAUUUCUGAAUUAUAUAUACACAUGCUGAUGGCCUUUUCUUUUUCUUUUUCUUUUUUCUGUUUUUUUUUUUAAUUGCCUUGCUGCUUUUUCUGUAGUUGAAGUUCGUCCUGUUAAAAAAAAAAAAAUUACAUAAAAGUGACGGUAUGUUCUGAAUUAGCUUUAAUAAAAAUGACACCGAGUCAAGCAUUUCAAGACGGUCAUUGUUUCUCAUUAUUUAGCAUAGUUUCUCGUUACUUGGCUUUGCCUGUUUCAUUCAUUCAAAUGGAUAAUCAUUACUUCCUUUUUAUAUAUUGUGUUUCAAAUUAAAAGGCAUUAUUUUUUAUAUUUUUAGUUUUAAUCAUAAUUUUAAUAUUUUUAAGAGUAUUAGUAGAUGUUGUAUUUUAAAAUAUUUUUAUAUAAAAAUAAUAUUCUUUCAAAACUAAUUAAACGUUUAGUACCUCAAAAACAUGGCCUCCAAAAUUAAAUAAUACAUAAAUAAGCAAUCGAGUAAUGAUAAUAUUACAUGGAAUUCAUUUGUUGAAAAAACAUCAAUCAAGUAAUGUAUUUUUGACUUUCCAACUUUGAAAUACAAGACGCUUGAGAGGAAAAGGUGUUACCAUCAAUUUGGAAAUAUUACACGCACUUCCAAAUCAAUAUUUUUAGGGGGUUUUUUUCAACGUUAAGGCAAUAUAUAUUUGGUUAUUUACUUGAAAUAAAAAAAAUAUAUCUAGACAAUUAAAACAGGAAGAACAUAUAUAUCCUCUCUUUUAUAUAUGUUUGAAAAAAUCAUUAGUUUUUUCAUUUAAACAUGUUUUCGUGGUUGAUGGGUGAUAAAUUUAUCUGAUAUUAUGAUAGAUUUUAUUGUUAUGGUUUGAUAAUUUAUAAUUGAAAAAUUUAUAAAUUAUGAUUUUUUUUAGAAUUUUAAAUGAGAUCUUUGUAAGAUUCUAGUAGUAUAUAUUGAUUAGCUAAAUAUUUGUAAGACUAUAGUUAAAAUAAAAUGUAAUUUUAUUCACAAUUCAUACAAACAUGGUAUAAAUGUUUUUAAUUAGACGAAUUUCCAUAGGAAAUAGGCUCCAACCUUCUUUGCUUGCCUGUUUCAUUCAAAUGGAUAACCAUUACUUGAUUCUACUUCAGGGGAAGUCAACGUCAAGGAAAUCAAAUUGUUUGGUUCAAAGGAGUGGGACAAGGCCACUGAUCAUUACAAUGUGAAUAAAACGCUUGGCCAGGGAGGCCAAGGUACACUUUACAAUUGUUGGUCUAUGAAUUCAUUCCUAAUGGAACCCUUUUCCAGUUUCUUCGGGCCAAAAAUUAUUGUAUUUUUUUAAUGUAAAAUUAGAAAAAAGUUAUAUUUUUUGAAUGUGGGAUAUAAAUUUUUUAUUUAAAUAAUUCAACUUAAAAUGAUAAGAUAAUAUCUUUUAAUGUGAAAUUUAAAGCCUUUUAAUCAUAGUUUUAAAACUCGGACCGGCCCGGCGGGUUAACCCGGGACCCAGUCGACCCGGGCCUGGAACCGGUCCGGGUGGAGGCAAAAACCCGCUUGGGAAUUGGCCCGGGGAAACCCGGUCCACUCGGUCAAACCCGGGUAAGACCCGGUCACUUUUUUUCCUGUUAGUCUUCUUCACAAUCAAUGGGUCUUAAUCACUUGCUCCUGUUUCCCCAAUCCUUGCCCUUCCUUCCACCCCAUCUUCUCCAUCAUCCUCUGCGCCGCAGUCUGUUAGGGUUUAUAUAUUUUUCCUUUCCUUGCCUUUCCUUUUUAUAGAAGAAUGGCAGAACGGAGAACUUCGUGGUUCUUCACUUGCUAGAAGUCACUCGUCACUCUCUCUCCUUUUCCCUCAAGUCACUAACAGAUCCGAUCUAGGGUUUCAUUUCUUCCAUUAAAAAUGGCAGUCGCUGCACAGACACCUGAUAUUCUUGGCGACAGACAGUCCGGCCAGGACAUUCGUACUCAAAAUGUGGUGGCCUAUCAAGCAGUCGCCAAUAUCGUUAAAUCCUCACUCGAUCUUGUUGGUCUCGACAAGAUGCUUGUAGAUGAUAUCGGAGACGUAACAAUCACCAAUGAUGGUGCUACUAUUCUUAAGAUGUUAGAAGUCGAGCACCCUGCUGCUAAGGUUCUAGUGGAGUUGACUGAGCUGCAAGACCGAGAAGUUAAAUUCUUAAUAAAUUCGGUUUGUUAGGGUUUUUUAAAAUAGUUAAUGGUGAUGUGAGCAGAAGAAAUUAAUGAAUGUGGUGUUAGUUUUGUUUAAUUGUAACUUUUUUUUUGGGUUGACCCGGGUUAACCCGGGUCAACCCAUCUGACCCGUGACCCGAUCACUCUACCGGGUCGAUGACCGGGUCGGGUUUCAAAACUAUGCUUUUAAUAUAUAUACUCUAUGUUUACAAGAAAAAAUUUAUUUUUUCAAUAUGGAAUUUGAAGCCUUUUUGUAUAUAUACUCUAUGUUCACAAGAAAAAAGUUAUGUUUUUUAAUGUGGGAUAUAAUUUUUUUUAUUUAAAUACUUCAAUUUAAAAGAAUAAAAUAAUAUUUUUUUAAUGUGAAAUUUAAAACCUUUUAAUAUAUAUAAAAUAUUACAAACCUGUAAUAUCGAAAGGAUUUUCAUUGUUGACCUUGCAGCUCUUCUCUCUCUCUCUUAUUCUCUUCACGUGCUCUCUACAUUCUCUCAUUUUGCUCUCAAAUAAUGCCUCUAUUUAUAGGCAUCUGUCGCACGUGUGCGGCAGCGCGGCGAUCGUCCACCAUCAAGGAAAUAUCGGAAUAUUUAUUCUUUGAAAAUAGGGAGAGACAAGGAAUUCUUGUCUCUACAAGUGAAAAUAUGGACUGGGAGUCGCCACCUAGUAUUCUGGUUACUAGGAACCCUAACUGGUCUCAGAGAUGGGGUACGGAGACUGGUUGCGUAAAGGGAAGGUAUUAGCACCCCAACUACGCCCUACCUAAGGUAAGCUGCAUUGUUUUGUCUGAUAAAAUCUAAAGUCGUGUUAUGGUUUGUAAUUGUUUGGAAUACGCAUUACAUGUAAUGUCAUACCCCAGGUUCGAGUGUCCGUAAAAAAAAGAAAUUAAAUAUCUGGAAUAUGCAUUACGUGUAAUGUCAUACCCCGGAUACCAAGAGACAAACAAAAUAAAAUUUUUGUUGUUUUUUGAAAUUUUGGCCAAUAUUCUCUUGACUUUAAUAAACUGGUUAUUAAAGUCAAAAUGCAUGCUAAAAUAUUGUUUUUUGACAUAUGAAAAAUACGAUAUGAUUUUUAGAUUUGAGAUACUUGGCCGUAUGCACAAAAACAUUUUUUAUCUUUUUUCAAUUUUUUUUUAUUUUUGAAAGUUUUUGCCGAAAACCGGGUAUUUUAAUACCGGAUUUAUAUAAAAAUACUGCCCGAUAUUAACCAAAAUGACAUAAAAUUACGCGGAAAAAUUAUAAAAUGCUAAAACAAAUAUUUUUGAUUUUCUUUAUGCAUGUGUGAACAGUACCCUACGAAAACCAGGUAUUUUAAUACCGAAUUUAUAUUUUUACGAUGUAAAAUAUAGACCGAUAUUAAGCAAAAUUGAUAAAAACAUGUGCUGAAAAAAUUGUAAAAAUUUUAUAUGUAAAACAAAUUUAAAAAAUUGAAAUGGGGCGGACCCAGCCCAUAUCAGUGGGCUGGGCCAACCCGGCCCAUUACCAAAUGGGCUGGUUACUGUGCAUAAGCACAGUAACCAGCCUCUCAUCAGUUGCAGAACAUGAAUUAAUUCACGUUCUGCAUGAAAAUAAAAGAGAGAAGGCAGCAGCAAAAGGAGAAGGAGACGGGGCAACGGGGUUACCUGCGGUGGCGUCGAGGCGGUGCUGCUGGUGGAAGCGGAGGCGAUGGUGGCGAAGGCACGAUGGUUCUGCGUUUCCCUUCUCUCUCUCUUCUGUUUUUCUUCGUUUUCUUUUCUGCUGCUUCUUCUUCUUCUUCUUCCCUGCCCUCUCCCUUCUCUUCUCUUCUCUCUCGGUUCGUCUCCCUCUUCUCUCUCCCUCGGUCUCCCUUCUGUCCUCUUUUUUUCUUCUCCUUUUCGGUGCCCCUCCCCUGUUUUUAUAGGCAAAAACAGGGGGGUGGUGUCGUGGUUGGGCGGCCACUGUCGGCCGCCCCCUCCACUAUCGAUCAGUGGAGAAAAAGGACGCAAGUGGGCGCCGAAUGGUGGGCGUCUUUUUGAAGCCAUCAGGGAAAGAAGUUCGACAAAAAGUGGAGAAGACAAAAAAAAUCUUCUCCCCUGUUCUCUGCGUGCGCAGGGAAGAAGACAAUGGUGCCGUUUCAAAACGGCACUGUUUUGGGCUUCUGUUUUUUUUUUUUUUUUCAACAGUGAAUGAAACGGCGCCGUUUUGGUCAAAACACGCCGUUUCAUUUAAAAGAAAAAGGCGUCAAAACGCGUCAGAUUUCAAAGAAAGCCCUCAAUUUGCGCGCGUUUUACAAUUUCGUCCUUGGUCUCGGAUUUCUUCAAUUUAGUCCCUAAUUGGCCAUUAAACUUCAAUAUUUAUGCAAUUAAGCCCCUGAUUUGACCAAAUUAACUUCUAAAAAUUAUAAUUUGACCCCAGAAAAUUAAUUUCUUCCAAUUAAAGCCCAAAAUAACUCCAAAAUCAAUUGUUUUUGCAAUUAAAACCUCUAUAAAUUCAAUUAAACCUUCAAUAAAAUUUAAUUGAGUCCAUAAACUUCUAAUUUUGCAUUUUUCUUCCUCAAAUUGAAUUUUCUUUAUCAUCGGGGCUCGCAUCAGUCAAUGAUAUACUGUCAAAAAUUUAUUUUUAUAUUUUUGAACAUCCUCAAUCAAUUUUUGAACAUUUUUAGAGCUCUCGUAUUUUUUCACUGUUAUAUUUUUUUGAUAAUAUAUUUUUUGAAUUUGUUUUUUGUAUUUUAUUAUUUUUUAUGUGGGGACCCAGAAAUGGGUGACAACAGCAUCAAUGAUAAGACAAGAUGCCAUCAAUUAUGGCACAAAUAGUGGUAACACAUGGGUUGCAACAUUUUUGUCAAUGGUUGAUACAACUUCCAUUCUAGCCUUUUGACAAUAGCAACCCUACUUCUUAGGGUAGGUGCACAUGUUGUUGCCUAUUAAUGGCAAUAUCCCAACAAUUACCCCUUUUAACAUUUAUAUGGGCAAUUGUCCUCUUACUUCUCCAGCACAAACUUGCAUCUUACAGCUCUUCCAAGCUUACCAUUCCGAGAGUGUCUGUGACCAAGUGUACAAGUACUCGCCAAACCUUUCAAUCACUACAGUUGCCAAAGCACACCUUUUCUCACACCAAAGGAUUACUUCAACCAAAUGGUCUCCAACAUCACAUCUGAAAAGUGUUAACACUUAUCUCUAGGACACAACAUUCCCCUUCGAGCAUAUCAAUCAUGCUCGGUCUGGAAUGAUUUUUCAAGCCUCAUACCAAGGCUUACAACACCCCCUUAAACAGAUAUUCCCAAGUGCAACAGUCAUUAAGUAUUUCAAUGUGACCACGAGCUCACCACUAUUCCAAGAGUCUACUCAUUCCGGAGUUGCGUCUGCCCUUUGUUCCACCUUAGGAACCACGCCUUACUUCUCCAUGAGUCUAUUGCUCUUAGUCCUAAGAGUCUAGGUAGCUCUCCACCUUUAACCAUGGGGGCAGCCCAUUAAAGGUUGAUUCAUAUCUGUCUUCAUGCUCUGAGUAUUACAAUGUCAUCACCGAGCUCACUACCUUGACAAGAGUCAACUUGUUCCAAGAACCUGUGCAUGCCCUCUACUCAUUCCUAACAGUCGCGUCUUAAUGCUCCAUAAGUCAACCACUUAUUUUCCAAGGCAAACGUCUUCUAGCUCAUUGAUCUUUAGCAUGGGGGUAAUAUCCAUGAAAGUCAAUCCUGCAUUUGUCUUCAUACUCAUACUCAUCAUAGUCAUUUCAUUGGCUAUCCAUACACCUGUCCACUCAUAUCUAGCCAUCGUCACAUCGGCUCUAGGGCGUUCUGUAAUUGGGGCUCCUAUCAUGGCCCUCACACCUUCCAUUUGAGGUAUCUCCACUCGUCGUCAUACGGCGGUCUGAAUUUGGGCUCAUAUCGUGGCUCUCACGCCUUCUCCUGAGGUGUCUCUACUCGUCGUCAUGCGGCAGUCUGAACUUGGGCUCAUAUUAUGGCUCUCACACCUUCUGUAUAAGGUGUCUUCGCCUGUCAUGUGGUCGUCUCAUCCUCCUUUAUCAGGGAUAACUGUAGUGGCUCUAAGAUUCUCUACCACCAAGUGGACUUGGGAGAGAUCACUGCCACUAAUCACAUAGAAAGAGAAACUUGCAGUAUACUCCUCGUAAUCCUCCACCUCGAUUUCUAUGUUUGGAGCUUCUACGCCUUUCUGCUUAAUAACUCCACCUAUACCAAUUCUUUGGUGUCUUCGCCUUUCAUCAUAGGUGGUCACAUUUAUCAUAGGCGUUUGCACCCCCGCAAUUAGGUGCUUUUGCAACAGCUCAUCUUUUCAUCCUUACAUGCAUUGGAAAGGUCCUCGCUUGUUGCCUUUAUCAAGAGCACAAGAGACUUCCUAUUGUACAACUUUUCACACAGUCUCUGCUUUGAGCUUCAUCUGGGAACUAUUCUUCUCCUUGCACCUAUUGUCUCAUUACAGUACCUCGUUGGAUCCUCCGAGUACUCAUACACAAUCUCUGUGUGCCCUCGUGCAAUUUUUGUUCUCUAGAUUUCUCCUCAUUCCUUGCUUAUAUUUGACAGCAGCUUAUCCUGUCACAACACCUAUCCAAGUCAAAAUAGGAUGUCAAUCUUUAUCCCUUUGCUGAAUUUCUCUUCCAUUAUCAAGGUCUUCAUCAAUUCUCCCUUCGAGAAAUUACAGUCACCGAAUCUAACUUCUUUACAGAAAUCAUCACUCCAUCAGAUCCUUGAUCAUACGGAACCCAACUGUUCCCCUUGUGCCGUCAUCUGCUAGUCUUCACCAGUUUCAUUACAAACUGUUACAUAUACGAAAAUAGUACCGUAUGGAUAAUCCUUCAACUAAGCAAGUUCCCAAGAGAGAUUGGAGGGGUCACAACGAUCCCGCUUAAAACCCAAUCUCCUAGCCAGAACUUCCUAGGCCAUAUUUAUCCAUCGUACUGCCUUUCCGUAUAUACAACCAUUUGAUAGCUUUGUUGCGGCUUUCUUUUACAAGUGAUCUGGAAUAUUUUCUCAACAUCUAGCGAGACUACUAGUGCUUAGAUUCGUCAAGAUUGGUCUGCAUCAAUUUUCACUCUCCACCUCAAAUCGUCCACAUGAUCGGGUGUCUAGAGUAUCCCAAUUUUGCCUUCCUUUAAGGCAAUUAAAUUUCCCCACUAAACAAUUCAGCACACAUAAUUGGGAAAAUGUGUGCGACUUCUUCUUCUUCAUCUCCAUCAACCACCAUCAAGACCUUCAGAUGCCUCUUGAUCGAGCAAUCUCUCUUAAUAAUUCACCACCACCACUUUUGGUCUCAAAUCUUAACAAACGGACCAUACCAUUACAUUCAGAACGAUCAAAUUAGCUAGAAAUAAGUCUGAAAUCAUCCAAAUCGCAUUUCAAACGGCUAAGAUUUGAUCAAAACAAUUCUGACCAGAUGAGCGGCCCAGAUUCAAUCUCAGAUCCGGUUGCACAAAGACUCCGCUACACGGAACCCAAUCCCUCGACUCGCAGCUCGGCUCCAACUCGGCUCAGCUCCACCCGACUCGGCUCCAUCCAACUCGGCUCGAGGCUGAUGACAUGGCAUAUGGGUCCCACUAUGCAGACGUGUCUGCUGACUGGUCGCUGCCAUGGCAUGCUAACUAUGCAUGCUGACGCAUUGAUUACAUCAUGAUGAUGUCAUCCUCCAUCCCAGUCAUCAUGUGGGUCAGGUCGUCUGGUAUUCGGGUCGGGUCAGCCCAUCCGGAUGAAGAAGACGCGUGCGGCACGUGGGCAUCCAAUUCGCCGACGCAUGGGGGCACAUGCGGCCAUGUCCAAUGUCCGAUUUUGACACAGUUUUCACCAAUGGCUUCAUCUCUUCCGCCUCUAUACGAUGGUUUGGUCAAAACACAAUUUUGACAACUUUCAUUUUUGAUCAAAAAUCAAACACCACUUUAAACCAUAUGCUCUGAUACCAAUUGUUGAAGAAUCCGACCGGUGAUGUAUUGAUAGUUGCCCAUUGGAGGCUAAGCACACUGACACAAUAUUUAACGUGGUUUGGAAAACCGCCUACAUCCACAGGAGAGGUCCAUAUUAUUCGAGAUAGAGAAAGGAUACAAAACAAAUACAUGGAGGAGGAGGAUCACUUCACUCAAACUCGACAACCCAGCUUUCAUUGCUACCCUUGUAGCUCCUCUCUUUCUCUCUUAUUCUCUUCACAUGCUCUCUAUACUCUCUCAUUUUGCUCUUAAAUAAUGCCUCUAUUUAUAGGCAUCAAUGGUAAGACAAGAUGCCAUCAAUUAUGGCACAAAUGGUGGCAGCACAUGGGUUGCACCAUUUUUGUCAAUGGUUUGUGUAAUUUCUAUUGUAGCCUUUUGACAAUAGCAACCCUACUUCUUAUGGUAGAUGCACAUGUUGUUGCCUAUUAAUGGCAAUAUCCCAACAAUUAAGAAUCUUAACAUCAAUGGUAUCAUCUUCCAAAUCAAUGAUGUUCCUCUUUUCCCUAAUGCAUUGUAGGGCAUAUUCGCUACAAAGAGACGCAAGAUCUGCCUCAAAAUACCCCUGAGUUCCCUUUGAGAUCUCUGUGAAAGAUUGUAGAUCGGUUGCUAGCAAUAACCCUAUUUUGAGGCAGCUUUUCCUUCCGAAACUGACCUUAGCAAAUGAAUGCCAAAUUAAGAUCUUAAACGAGGUAGUUUUAGCGAAAGGAAUGCUAAAACAAGUUCAUUAUUUGUACGCAGAUAAAAACUAGUUCAUUAUUUGUCAUUAUCUGUGACUCGCAAUAAGCAAUGGAUCAUUAAAUGACCCCAACAACAGCAUCACCCUUUUCAAUACAAAGGUAUCGUGUCUCGCGUCUAUGCAUUCAUUUUAUGUAACUGGAAGAUUCCAGUUUACUGGGUUUGUUUUUGUGGCAACAGAGGUUUCUUUAUGAUCUUCAUGGUUAGAAGACCCGGCCUCGUGAGUGCAGGGUCGAUUGUAUCAGGCCUGUUGGUAGCACCAAUUACGAAGACGGUUUUCUUGGCUGAUAAACCAUCCAUAUCUCAGUUAGGAGUUGGUCCAAAACUCUAUCCGCGGCACCACCAGCAUCUCCUACACUGUUUCCUCUUUGAAUAGCAAUGGAGUCAAGUUCAUCGAAAAAUAGGACACAAGGAGCAGACUGGCGUGCCUUGUCGAAAACAUCCCUUACAUUGGCUUCACUCUCUGCAAACCACAUCGUUAGAAGCUCAGGACCCUUGAUACUGAUGAAAUUAGCUUGACAUUCAUUGGCAAUAGCCUUAGCCAGCAAUGUUUUGUCACAGCCAGGAGGACCAUAGAAAAGAACUCCAUUAGAAGGUGACAUGCCAAACUUCUCAAACUUCUCAGGAUGCUCCACCGGAUAUUGAACAGUCUCCUGAAGCUCCAUCUUGACCUUCUCAAGACCUCCAAUAUCCUCCCAUCUAAAAUUGGGAAUUUCCACAAUGGUCUCACAAAGAGCAGAAGGAUUGCUGGUUCCGAGAGCAAUGUUGAAAUGGUCAUUUGUAACAGCCAUGGAAUUAAGAAUCUCAGCAUCAAUGGUAUCUCUUCCAAAUCAAUGAUGUUCCUCUUUUCCCUAAUGCAUUGUAGGGCAGAUUCACUACAAAGAGACGCAAGAUCUGCCCCAAUAUACCCCUGAGUUCCCUUUGACUAGUUUUUCCAAGUCGACAUCUUCAGAGAGCUUCAUCUUCUUUGUAUGGACACGAAGAACCUCAAGGCGACCAGCUUCAUCUGGAACACCAAUAUCUAUUUCUCUGUCAAACCUCCUCAAUGCAGGGUCUAGACCGUUAGGCCUGUUUGUAGCUCCUAUCACAAUAACAUGGGCACGGGCCUUUAGCCCAUCCAUGAGAGUCGGUAGUUGUGAAACGAUUCUUCUUUCUAUUCGCCACCAGUUUUCUCACGUUUGGGAGCAAUUGAAUCAAUCUCAUCAAUAAAUAUAAUUGCCGGGGCAUUCUUUUCAGCUUCUUCAAAAGCUUUUCUGAGAUUUUGCUCACUCUCUCCUGCCAUCCUGGACAUGAUUUCUGGUCCGUUGAUACAAAAGAAGAAAGCCCCAGUUUCAUUAGCAAUAGCCCUCGCUAUCAAUAUUGUUUUACCAGUUCCAGGAGGACCAUAAAGCAGAAUUCCUUUCUGUGGCUUCACACCAAUGGUCUUGAAAAGUUGAGGAAACCUUAAUGGCAGUUCAACCAUUUCCCUGAUCAGUGCCAAUUGUUUCCUAGCACCACCAUUAUCAUCGUAGCGAAAUCGAUCAAGACUUUCCUCAUCUACCCUCUUUACAGCUUCCCCUUCACAGAAGAUCUCUGUAUCAGGCGCAACCACACAGUACUAAGCAGGAUCCGUCUCAAUGACCUUAAGCUCCACACUCUUCAUUCCUGCUCUGAUGAGGUAAUGAUCUCCUUUCCUGACUGGACGAGAAGAAUCCUUGAAGUAAGGCUUCAGGUAGGCAUCAAACAGCCUACCAUUAAGGCCUUCAACUGUGUCAUCCAAAGGCAGAAUAUGAACCCUCUUGCCAUACCGCAAAUUCGGACAUACCUGCACCGAAACCAUAUCACCAAGCCUGACCCUUAAGUUUGACCUCACAAUCUUAUUCAUCAAAAUCUUGGACUGAUCGCAGCUAUCAUACUAUAAAUAAAAUAUAAAUAUAUAAGUUUUUUAUUUGAUAAAUAAUAAACAUACUAUAGAUAUAAUAGAAACUCAACCCCUAAAUACUAAUAGCUAUAGCUCGAUAGCAGACUCCAAUUAUGUGGAAUUAGAAAGUCCGGCCAUUACAUAUAUAUGGCAGUCCAUUAUAUUUUGAUAACAAGGCAUGAUGAAAAAAAAAAACUAUUAGGGUGUGCUGUCAUCAAUGAGCAAUUGUCAUCUUACGGAGUUGAAAUUCUAUAUAUUUUAAAAAUAAGAUUCCGUACCCCCUUCGGAAUGGAAGCAGGCUGCUACCUGGAUAAGAGGUUCAGAAUACAUUGCAACUCCAACAUGACUCCGAGGCUUUCUAUGAAUAGAAUCAAUCUAGAGGUGUUGAACAUCUCUUUUAUUGAACCCAUAAAAAGUGUUUUUUUAGGGUGUUUUUACACCCAUUAAAUCUAGAUUUAUCACUUCUAUUUUAAAAAAAUUAAAUACAUACCUCUCACAUCAGUUUAUUACAUUUAAAAAAAGUUUAAUAUGAUCAUGGCUUUUCUAUUAUCUUCACUCUUCGGGACCCGAUAUUUUAGUCCAUUUCAUUAAAGAAUUGCCAUUGCUCGAGCUUUAAAUAAGGAAGGCUGGGCUUAUGCUACUCGAUGAAGCAACAAGAGCACUAGAUGCUGAGUCUGAGAGGUCUGUCCAGGAAGCCCUGGAUCGUGCCUGCUCAGGAAAGACCACAAUUGUUGUUGCACACCGGCUAUCAACUAUAAGAAAUGCUCAUGUCAUUGCUGUGAUUGAUGAUGGUAAAGUAGCAGAGCAAGGAUUCCACUCGCAUCUAUUGAAAAAUUAUCCUGAUGGGAGCUAUGCCCGCAUGAUACAGUUACAAAUUAAGGUUCACACAUAGCGAAGUCAUUGGAAUGACCUCAGGUUCAAGUUCACAGAGCAAGGAUCCCUUGUGCAUGUGGUUUGUCGCACCUGCUUUCACAAAAAGAUGCCCAAUGUCGGAAGAUAAUUGGGAGAAACGUGUCCAGGCAUUCCCUGCAUUUUUCAUGUACGAUUAGGAAAUGUGCUCCCAUCACAAAAAGGAAUCCUGAUCAUAUUUGCAGCAAUGAUCGAGGGCUUGUGCAAUUAGGCUACAAGGGUUAUCAUGCAUGCCAGGAUUCCACUACUUUCCGACUUACUGAUGGAAAAAGAUGGGACCCAAUGGCAAUGGAUGUAGACCUGAAUACUAAUGACGUGUUGGACAAUUAUGCAUCACAAUCCAAACUUUGAGGCGAUCAUAUUCCUGGCGAUUCGAAAUCAUCCAAUCUUGAGCUUAAUAGGAUGCGUAUCUAUUUAUGAUUUGGUUUGUGGGGAAGGAAAUUAUUGAGUGUCAAAGUUCACAUGCAUGGUGGUUGGUUGCACAUGUGUGUCAUUUGAGUGUCCAAGGACAAGUACUACCCAAAGAGGGGACCUCGUUGAAAUCAAUAGACCACGCUCCUUCGACCAUUAAUUAGUAGAAGCUGGUGGUGAUGGUGGUGGUGGACAAGCGGGAGACAAAAGUUUAGGAUAUGGCAUUUGGAAAAUGACAGCAAGGGAGAUGAUAAGAGAGUUAGAUCAUGGCCUCAUGGGAUGCUCUGUCCUUGUGUUCAUUUCGCGGGCCAUACCCAAUCUCUUUCCAUUAAAGAAAUACAAGGACGUUAGCCUGCACAGAUGGGCUUUAAUGGCGCUCUUGUUUUCAAGUGCUCAAGAGCAUUAUGCUUUUGGAGGGACACUGGAUGAUGACUCUCUGUUAACAAGUAACGACUUCAACAGCUGUUUCAAAUUACGGGCAACUAGAACACACAAUUACAAAAAAAAGGAGGAAAGUGCUACAAGUCUAAAACCAAUACCACAAGCAUAUUUAAGUUUGACAUACAAACACAAAAUUAAGACAUGUAGUAAAUAAUUUCAAUAUGUAUGUAAGAGUGGUUUUUCAUCUAGUGAUGAAGGAGCACCAAUAUCGAAGCUGGAAAUUGUUGAGGCGGAAGUAACAUCCCAAGGUGCUCCCAUCACUUCAGUUCUGUCAUAUUCAUUCUCUUGUUGGACGAUCAAGUUUUCGGAUUUUUUAAGCCUCUCCAACACCAUUGUGACUUCUUUCAUCGGAGGCCUUUCUUUCCCAUUUAACCUCAAGCAGCUCCUAGCCAAGCUAGCAACCAUCAACACAUCCUCUCUUUCCCCUUGCUUCACAACCUGAGGAUCAAGAAUAUCAAACAGGCAGUUGCUCUCCAUGGCCAUUAUGAAAUAUGUGGCUAAACUUCUGCCUUGUUCUUCUGAUCUUGUGAACGAGAUUGCCUUCUGCCCAGUAAGUAGCUCAACAAGAACCACACCAAAGCUAUAGACAUCACUCUUGUCUGUGAAUUGGCUUGAUUGGAAGUACUCUGGAUCCAAGUACCCAAAGGUGCCUUGUACUAGAGUUGUGACAUGAGUCUGGUCGAUGCUUACGGACCUUGAAGUCCCAAAAUCUGCAACUUUGGCUCUAUACUUCUCAUCAAGCAGGAUGUUUGUAGACUUGAUGUCUCUAUGAAAAAUGGGGAGGGAGGCUGCUGAAUGUAGAUAGAAAAGUGCCCCUGCUACCUCUGCUGCAAUCCUUAAGCGCAUUUCCCAAGUUGAAGGGAAUUCCUCGAUAGGGUCAUGGAUAAACUGGAAAAGGGUCCCAUUAGGAAUGAAUUCAUAGACUAACAAUGGAAGUUCAGUCUCUAAACAACAACCCAGAAGCUUAACCACAUUUCUAUGGUUAAUUUGGGAUAGAAGGACGACCUCGUUGAUAAAUUGUCUGAGAUUCCCUUCAUCGAUUACUUUGGAUUUCUUGACUGCAACGAUUUUUCCAUCCGCCAACAUCCCUUUGUAAACUGUUCCUUGGCCUCCCUGGCCCAGCGUUCUAUUCACAUUGUAAUGAUCAGUGGCCUUGUCUAAUUCUUUCUAAGGAAACAUUUUGAUUUUCUCAACAUUGACUUCACCUGAAGAUAGUUGUUCUUGCAGUAAAAGACCACCAUUCCUCUUAAAGUACUUUUUCUUUAGUUUUUCACUCCUCUUUCUCUUGAAUACUUUGUACAACCACCAUAAACCAAUGAGUAGAAAAAGUGCUCCAAAUCCCACUCCAACACCUGCACAAGUCAACCAAUUGCAUUCAAUUCUUUUUUUAGAGCUGAACUCAGAAAAACAAAUUCUGUAUGUUUGCUUGAGUAACGGUGCAGUAUCCGCAAUUAUUUGAUGCUGCUGGGAUAGGAUUGGUGAUUUUGGGCUGGUACAGCUGCAGCAAGUCUAGAUUUUAUCCCUAACUUCCAUUUUGCAGAUUGUUUUUACUACUUAUCCAGGCAGCAGAGAACAUCAAUUGAAUUUCCUUCUUAUUCCUUCCUCUAGCUCAUUGUUUUUCCUGUACCGCUUUGAUCAGUGGAGGAUCUUGCAUAAAAUUUCCAUCAAUUCUACAUUGUUAAGCGCAGUGUUGUAGUUUGUCUCCAUAUUCUACUUUAUUCAUGUCAGUUUUGAAAGGAGAAUUUGAUUCUUAAAAAACAGUAAGUUAAAUUUUAAUUUCUUUUUAUAAUUUUGAUUGUCUGCUUUACUAAGUGUACAAAUCUUAUUUUUAAUCUUAUGUGAAGAAAAAAAUUAUUACAAGCAUAUUUCAAGAGAGUGUACUUUUUUACUUGAAACUAAUUAUUCAUACAUUUUUUUCAAGAAAGCAUUAUUCAUACUUGGGAAAGAAGAAAAUUGUGUAACAACGAUCUAAUUACAAAUAAAAUUUGAUUGAAAAGAAGGGCACAAAAUUGAAUACUUUAGAAGGCUAAAUUGUACGAUCAAUCUCCCUGAGUAAUUGGUUAAAAUGGCAUCAACAAAAAAAUUUCAUGUCAUUGCUUCUUGAAUGAAUUGAUUGAUUUUAUUUAAUCUUAAUGACAAAUUAUAGUACUGACAUAUAUCAUAAUUUUACAUAUGAAAUAUUUAAAACUAGAGUGAUAGAUACAAGAAAUUUUAUGGUAUUUAUAAAAUAAUUAGUGGCAUAUAUAAAAAAAUUCAUAAGUGAAAAUAUUUUUAGUAUUUUAAUAGUUCAUGAAUUUUGUUUUUAUUUUUCUUCGUAUAUCUGUUUUUUUUUUCAAAGUGAAUAUUAAAAAAUAAUUAAUUGAAUAUUAUAAGUAAUUAUUUUUUUGUAUUAUAAAAUUUGUCGCAUAUAUACACGUGUCACAUGAUAAUUAAUUAAUUAAUACUAGUUAUAGGAGCAUAAACGUAUAUACUACUUGAAAAAAAAGAAAAAUAAAAAUCGUAAGGGAGGCUGCUGUCUUCUCCGAUCUCUCUUAGAGGAUCCACCAUUGAAUCUGAUUUUUCUUCGAGCUUAUAAAAUCGUCAAUUAUGACAUUUGUAGCACUAUCAUGAGACAAGUCAACAACACAGUUUUCCUCUAAUCAAACAUUACAUUGGCAGUCAAUUGUUUUCUUGACCCGUUUAAAGUGUGACAUAAUCUAUAGUCAUUUCUAUCAUGAUGAUAUAGAGUGAAAAUGCAACAUACCUAUGCCUGCCAUUUUAGCUUUGAUUUUACGCCGGUAAUUGUCGUAUGCUCUACCCGCUGCAACACAUGAAGAAACCACAGAGUUGAUGGAUCAGUGAACCAUACAAUGGUAAACCAUGCCAGAAGAAUCUAUAGAGUAGGAAUUGUAACCAGGAGUUUACCUUGACAACUACCAUAAAGAUAAGGAUUUCCUACGAAGCCUGGAUAGCAAGAGCAUUGAACGGUGGAGCUCUGGUCCGUUGAAUUAAUGGAAGAAUUCACCUUCUUACACCAAGAAGUAUAAGUUGAAUGAUAUAAUGAUCCAUUCUUAACAAGUGAUACAAAUACCGUUUCGUCUAUCCCCCAAUCCAGCACUACGGGAACAGAGUCCCUAUGUCUCAUGUCAUAAGGGUCGUAGUUCCCUCCGACAGAAUAAUACCUCCAGGAUUCGAUCCAACUUUGAUAAAUUAAAUAGGCAUACCUGCAUUGCUUUUCCCCACUGCUUCCUUUUCCAUCAUCUAACCCCUUCAUGGUUACAUUAAGAACCUUGAGAAAUGAAGGAAUCCUGGUCUGGCAACAGUCGAUCCCACUGCAGCUGGCCAUCAUGCUAUCACGGUUUUUGUCACAAAUUGACACACACCCACCAAUAGUAGAUUGGUUUUGGGUCAUCAAGGCAAGAUUGUCACAACCCCUUGCAAUGAAGUAAUUCUCGGAGGAGAAAACAAAAGGGCUUCCUUCCAAGUCAACAACUGUGUUUCUAUCUUUGC
rnacentral:lncRNA from 1 species